UUUUCAUAAAAUGUGUUACGUCUGAAAAUUUUGCGUGAAAAAGAACUAAUAUGCGAAAAAGAAAAUACUUAUGUAUGUAUUCUCAGUUUGGUGGAAAUGAAUAUUUUUUUAAAAAAAAUAUUAUCUAAAAACCACGCGGCUCAAUAUGCUUGGUUGUUAGGAGAUAAGAGGAUCGUGUUCACAGAGUUCAAUAUUAAGAAGCAGUAUUUAUCUUCUUCUUCUCCUUUAACGUCAAAAAAAAUCUCUCCUCCAUCAAAAUCCUCCAACGAUGACAACCAUAGCUGCAAGCGGUCUCAACGUCGCGACUCCGCGAGCGGUGGUUCGACCUGCGGCUCGCCUAUCCGCCCCGGUCCGUUUGAAUUACCCGUGGAGAUUCGGUUCUAUGAACCGGAUGGUUAUGGUUAAGCCGAUUAAGGCGACAUCAGAAGGAGGGAUAUCGGAUAAGGUGGAGAAGAGUAUACAGGAAGCGAAGGAGACAUGCGCCGACGAUCCGGUGAGCGGCGAGUGUGUGGCGGCGUGGGACGAGGUGGAGGAGCUGAGUGCGGCGGCGAGUCACGCUAGGGACAAGAAGAAAGCUGGUGGAUCCGAUCCUUUGGAAGAAUACUGCAGUGAUAAUCCUGAGACUGAUGAGUGUCGCACUUAUGAUAAUUAAUUGAAAGUGUUUUUGAUGUUUGAUAAUAUAUUAAAAUUGAAAAAUUAGGUACGGUCAGAAUCAGAUCGAUCUUUCUUCUUCUUCUUGCUGUUAUUGUUGUUGUUGUUGUCCUCGUACGUGUUUGGUUUGGUUUCUUUGGUGCUUGUAAUGUGAUAAUGAAUAUGAUGAAUAGUACACUACACAAGAGGUGUUUCAUAGAUCUCUACGUAUUUUUUUCCAAUUAAAUUUGAUUACUAAUUACCUUCUGUAUCUAUGGAACUGAUAAAAUCUUAAUUGCGUGUUUUCUGGAUUUGAGUGGGUGAUGAUAUUAGGUAUUUUCAUUUGCUUUUGCAUAUGUUUUUUUUUUCUUUUUAAACGUGGUUGAUAAUCAACACGUUUGGAGAGUGAUGUGUCAAAAUCAAAAUGAUGUGGAACGAGUUUAUUGAUCAGUGUUUUAUAUACCAUGUAAAGUAGAACGAUGAAAUAUUGGUCUAAAUCGGGCGUGGAAGCAAUCAAAAGUUAUCCAAGAUAUUGUGCAUACAUGUAUCAUAUGUCAUAACACAUCGGACAUAUAUUGCAUUUGACGAUAAGAAAUUUCGGUUUUAGCUGCGGAAUGCGGGGGUUUUAGUUGGAUUUCACUUUUAUGGAUGAUGGGUGCUUUUCUAUGUUCGAUCAUGUAUUUUGAUAUAUCUUUUUCAAAAAUAUAAAAGCAAGUACAACUGUAUAUGAUGUAAAAAAACCUAAAUAUGUAUAAACGCAUUUUUUUUCUUUUCCUAUUGGUUGAUUUAUAUAUAUAUAUAUAUAUUUUUUUUUUGACAUCAUAUUGGUUGUUUUAUAUUGAUGCUAAUGAUUUAUGCUCUCUGUAGAGCAUUUAAUGGGCUGCACAAAUAUAUUGGGCAAGCUUAAACAUGGGCCGAUAUAUCAAGCGGCAUAUAGAACAUGUUUAUGGCCACCUCACGGUCUUAACUCCUAAGAAACAGUAACAUAAUGAACAAGAAAGGCAAAUUGCAAUGUAAUUGUACUAAAUUGAAUUUGAAAACCGACAUGUAGCAAAUAUUUAUAAUAUAAAAAAAAUCGUGAGAGCUAUGACCUUUAGCGGAAUGGAUCAAAAUCCGUCCACCUAUAAAUUGUAUUUUUUUUUUUAUUUUUUUUAAAGGAGUAUGUACUUAUUUCAUGCUUAUGUGUGUGUGUAUAUGCAAUUUUGAAUUCCUCCACUUAUAUUUUUGGCGGUAAGAACUGGAGAUUUUUAACAGGAAAAUGCAUCGACGCGUAUCUGUAUUUACCAGUUAUAAAACCUGAUGGUAAGUAUAUGAAUGAAUACAAUCGAAAUUAAGCUGACUUCAUUUCUUUCUUUUUUUUGGCUCGGCCGCCAAUAAUUACGAAAAGCCAUUUAUACCCUUACAAGUUUCAGGCGGAUUAAGAAGAUGUCACAGCAUGUAGGGGUGUAUCUGUCUUCUUACACAUACGUAACCGAGUUUCUUUUUUUCUCCUCAUUAAAAAACUCUUUCUAUUGUUCGCUUCUAUACUCUCUAAAAAUAAAAAUUGUAGCUUCCAAAUUUUCCAUCACACAGAAAAAUCUCAGCGGUAAAAAAAAAAGAAAAGAAAAAAAAAGCGUCACUGGUCUUUGUUACCUUCUUCCUUGUUCGCUCGACCCUGGCGAUGUCGUACCAGGAGACGCAGACAACUCGCAGAAUGUAACGUUGUUACUGCUUGUCUCUCGUUUUGACGACAUCGGAAUCAUUCGAAUUCGCUCUUCAUCUCUCUCGUUUUUCUCCUUCAAACCUGCUUCAAAUCGUUCAACGAGGAUUCGAUAUUCAUUUCCCUAUCCACUCGUCAAGUGCUGGGUAGCUGUAUGUCUCUCGACCGAACUAAACCCUAGCUUGUACGUAGCUCUUCCUGCGCUUCUCCCUUCUCUUUUUAGAUGCGGAAUUGAGAGUUUUUAGUUAAAUUUCAUUUUUAUGUAUGAUGGAUGCUUUUCUAUGUAAUUCGAUCUUAGGGCUUUUGAUUCCGAAAUAUCUCGUUCAAAUCGCAUUGAGCUUAGUGAUGAAUGCGUUAAAGGAACGUUUAGGAUUAUGUCUCAAUCCUUUCCGAUCCACUUUCUUAUGAUAUUUAAUGAAGUGAAUCAACUUUCUUUUGUGGAUUUCUUUCCUUCUUUCAGUCGCUGGGUUAGGGGAAGCUCUCGUUCAGGUGUCGUUUAAGGGUCUAUUUCAAUACAUUGAUACAUGAUGGUCAUCUCCUGUGUAGGACGAACAGAUACCACUACCUCAGAUUCCAAUUAGAAUGAGAUCUCUUGAAGCUUGAAUAUAUCAUCUGUGUAUCCGUGGUCGUUGCUACUCUAGAAGUGGGCUAGUAUAUUUUCUUUAGUUCACGCUCCAGUUUAGUAAAAUAUAUUUUUUGCUUUGGCAGUGGCGUUUAGUUGACGACUGCGUCUCCUCCAAAGGCCGAGUUAGCAUGGAGUGGAUCCACAAAUCUUUUCCUUGUAUGGAAACUUCGAAUUUGGCAAACGCAGUUCAAGUAAAUGUUCCUCUUCAGCGAGAGGAGAGACUUGUUUGCCAUUCUUCGCUAACCGAUGUAGAUAUAGACCUUAGAGAAGUCUAUUUCCUGAUUUUACAUUUUCUUUCUACCGGCCCAUGUGAACGAACCUUUGGGCACCUGAGAGAUGAAAUCUUGGAAAAAGGGCUUUUGCCCCGUAGAUAUCAUUCUUGGUGGUCAAGAAGUGGCACUUGCAGUGGGCGUGCUGACGAUGAUGGCAUCUCGCUCCCAUUGAACUAUGAUAAGUUGGUAGAGAGGUAUAGUUUUCUUCGUAAUUACUCCGCUCUUUCAUCGUUCAGUUACUAUGGAAGCCUCGCCAUAGCUUAUUGAAUUUGAAUAUUUCAUACUAUGGUAAACCACCUUCCUAAUUGUGCUAUAUUUCUGUCGUCAUGUUUAUUUUACUGACAGAUAUCCUCAUAUUGAAAAGGAUCACCUGGUGAAGCUUCUCAAGCAACUAAUUUUAAACCCACCUUUUCCUUCACACAUGAGAGUUGAAGGAAAUACUCCUAAUGCUGCUGAUGUUCCAACUCUACUAGGAUCUGGCACCUUUUCACUUGUGGAUUGUACGUAGUAACUCCUAUCCAUCUACUUAUUUUGUGUGCCUUGGGUUUCAAAAGCUCAUUCAUGAAGAUAAAAUCAAAAAAUCAAAAGACAUGGUACUUUGUCGAAAUGAUGUUUGGAAAGCAGGAUAUUUUCUUUUUUACUUUUGCAUGCUAUUCAGUUGAUUUUUUUCAAACCACAUUGUUUCUAGAAUGGAUCGCUUGCCUUAGCGGCAAGAUGUUCCCCGUGUCUUUGGAUUUGAAACUUGGAAAGAGUCACAUGAAUGCAUAAAACCUGGUAGUGCCUUUAGGACUGUGCCUAUUGAAAACUUUUUCCUUCAGGUUUUGAUAAUCUUUCCUUGGUAACAUGACUUGUGUUUGGAUUUCUGCUGACUAAGUCUAUCUUCAGGGAUUUGAUUUUUUUUUUUUCGAUUUGAAGAUAAAAAAAUGGAGUCUCAGAAAGCGAGACACGUCGCGCCAUACUUACGCUGGCCGCAUAUGCAUGCCGAUCAAGUGCGUGGCCUAAGUCUCAGAGAAAUUGGAGGAGGUUUCAGAAAACACCACCGUGCUCCGUCCAUUCUUUCAGCAUGUCAUGCUAUUGCAAAACCAUCAACAAUGGUUCAAAAGAUGCAAAAUAUAAAGAAGCUGAGAGGACAUCGUAAUGCUGUUUACUGCGGUAAGAUCCUCAACUAUACAUCCGUUGUGCUGGAUCUCUGCUCUGUGGGCAUUCCAUACUUUGUUUUGUCUCAUGUGCAACCUUAGAAUUUAUACCUAUCUGAUUAUAGUAUCUGGAAGUCAUAAUGCAGUAUGUCCAUCAUGGUAACAGUAUGGCCUUUUUUUUGCGCAGCUAUUUUUGAUCGUUCUGGAAGAUACGUUAUCACUGGUUCAGAUGACCGACUUGUCAAAAUUUGGUCAAUGGAAACUGCACUUUGCUUGGCUAGCUGCCGCGGUCAUGAAGUGAGCUAUUGUUUCCAUAUUUGUUAGACAUAUAUUGUUGACUAGUCUAUUAAAAUUUGUUCUCGCCUAUGCAUGUUUCCUGUAGGGUGACAUUACAGACUUGGCCGUUAGUUCAAACAAUGCUUUGGUGGCAUCAGCUUCAAACGAUUUUGUGAUUCGAGUGGUAAGAAUACAAUUCCCAGUCUUUAAUGUGUUGACACUUUUUAUUUAUUUGUCUGUUAGAUGGUAUUGUUUCUUAUGGCAGUGGAGGUUGCCUGAUGGAAUGCCAAUUUCUGUAUUGCGGGGACAUACUGGAGCUGUUACUGCGAUUGCAUUCAGUCCCAGACAGGCGUCUGUUUACCAACUUUUAUCGUGAGUUCUGUUCAAUAUGUUUCUACUUUAAAUAGUUCAUUUCGGAAUUGUUAUUUAUCUGUUCAAGACCACCCCCUAAAUAUAUAGUUUGUAUGUUUCAUACUGCUUCCUGCACUGGUAAUUAGUUAUUUGUGCUUUAUUUUUUUAUCUGUAGGUCAUCCGAUGAUGGAACCUGUCGUAUCUGGGAUGCUAGGUACUCUCAAUGGCUUCCACGAAUCUAUGUUCCAAGUCCAUCGGAUGCAGGCACUGGUAAGAAAGUGGCACAGCAUUGUAUUUUGUUCAAUAUUAAAUCUGUUUGGGUUAUACAACUCAUUGGAAGUUUCUCUUAGGAAAAAGCAAUUUUACAUCUUCUAACGCGGCAUCUACGAGCAAUACAUCUCAGAGUCACCAAAUACUGUGUUGUGCGUACAAUGCUAAUGGAACAAUUUUUGUCACUGGUAGCUCUGACAGCAAUGCGAGGGUCUGUGUUAAAAUCUCAACUUUAAUUAUCCUCCUUGGUAAUGCAGAAACUGCGGAGAUUUUGUUUGGUUUUAGUUUGCUUGUUAGUCUUGAUUGUCAGUAUUUCCAUAAUCUGCAGGUUUGGAGUGCCUCAAAACCGAACUUGGAUGAUGCUGAACAGCCGACUCAUGAGCUGGAUGUUCUACGUGGCCAUGAGAAUGAUGUCAACUAUGUGCAGUUUAGGUAUUUUUUAGCGAACAUGGUGGCUUUCUUAGAUUGCAUAUUAUUGGUUAGAAGAACAUAAAAAUAAUAGAAAAGGUUUCUUUUUUUCUUUUUCUUUAUAGUGGUUGUGCUGUGGCUCCAAAAUCUUCACCGGCUGAUACUCUGAAGGAAGAUAGUUACCCAAAGUUUAAGAAUUCCUGGUUUGUUUCAUAUGUUGUGUUGGACUUAUAGCCAUUGCACUAUCUUCCUUCUAUGCUUACUUUGGAUGUGGUGAAGGCUUAAUACGUUUAAUUACUAGGUUCUGUCAUGACAACAUAGUAACCUGCUCUCGUGAUGGUAGUGCAAUUAUAUGGACUCCAAGAUCACGUAAAUCCCAUGUAAGUUUCUUCAAUCAACCACGAAAUGCAUUGGUGCUUUGCAAGUUCAUGAUAGCGAAUUUCCGGUUCUAUCAUCAGUUUCCACAACCUACUCGAUUAUAUAUAUCCAGGGGAAAUCUGGACGCUGGAUAAAAGGAUAUCAUCUGAAGGUUCCACCUCCUCCACUUCCUCCACAACCUCCUCGAGGAGGGCCGCGUCAAAGGUUUCUUCCAACACCACGAGGGGUCAAUAUGAUUAUAUGGAGCUUGGAUAAUCGUUUCGUACUUGCCGCCAUCAUGGGUAAAUAUCGUCAGAGGAAAAUUUUAUGAUGCAUAGAUUUUAAUUUUGAUUAAUUUCUCACUUUGCUCCAAUCGUAGACUUACUACCGUCUUCUAUAUCCCUUAACCGGUCGGUGUCUAUACAGAUUGCAGGAUUUGUGUAUGGAAUGCUGCUGAUGGUAGCUUAGUGCAUUGUUUAACUGGUCACAGUGAAUCGGUAACAAUCACCUAAAUUUCUACUCCUUACCUUGAUAUCUUAGUUGGGGCAUUGUAUUUUUUGGUUUUAAUUUUGCAUGCUUCAUUGUUGUAGCUCUCAUUUGAUGUCGAUCUUCUCCCGAAUGUCCCAUAAUUUCCAUAUUGCAUUUAUCUUCAAAUUUUGUGGUUCAGCCCAACUUGCUUUGGAACUACUAAUAUAUGUAUAUGGUUUGUUUCAUUUAUGCCCUCUUGGUAGUCCUAUGUCUUGGAUGUCCACCCUUUCAAUCCUCGGAUUGCUAUGAGCGCCGGCUAUGAUGGGAAAACAAUCAUCUGGGAUGUGAGUUUCAUUUUUUUGGAUAAGAAUACUCCUUGAUCUUAUCAAUAGCAUCCCUUACCUCCUUUGAUAUCUUUUUCUAGAUAUGGGAGGGUGUCCCAAUUAAAGUAUUCGAAAUCGGGAGAUUUAAGUUGGUUGAUGGAAAGUUUUCACAGUAAGUGACCGAUGAAACAUCGAGGAUAAGAUCUUCUAUUUGUUUCAAAUGAUUUCAGUAACACAUGCAUAUUGCUCUUGAGUCUGAAACUAGAAUAAUAGUCAUGUUAUACAUAUCAAGUUGAGUAUACAAUUUUCAUAUUUCAUUCAGCAAAGACUUCUAAAGCAUUUAUUUAGUCACAUGAAAGUUACGGAAUCAAUUGCUUAUCAUAAUUUUUUUUUUCUUUGGGACUGUGUAGAGAUGGGACAUCUAUUGUGCUGUCAGAUGAAGUUGGCCAGAUAUAUUUUCUAAACACGGGUCAAGGAGAGUCUCAAAAAGAUGCUAAAUACGACCAGGUAUGGUGGAUUUUGCAUCUUAAAUGCAUGAUGAUUUUCUAAUAUAUGGCUGUAGUUUCUAGUGAUCAUCUAUUGCUUUCUGAUGUUUUGUCUUGUAUUGUUUGUUUAAGUUCUUCCUUGGUGAUUAUCGUCCUCUUAUUCGAGAUACCAAUGGACAUGUUCUUGAUCAGGUUGGUUUCAAAUACUUGUAUCUUCUUUUUUGUUUCUAGUUCCUCUUGCAUUCUUUGUCAGAGACCUCACCGAAAUAUGCACACUUUGAUGCAUUAUUCGCUAACAGUUCUAGUUUACAAAUCGGAGAUGUAUGAUCAAUAUCCUUGCACUUGCUUUAUUGUUGACUAUAUUUAAAGCUUUAUAAUUUCCAUGGUGCAGGAGACUCAGCUUCUUCCCCAUCGGAGAAACCUUCAGGAUCUUCUUUGUGAUUCAAGUUCGUUUCUAAAAGCUUAUCUUUAUGUCAGUUAUGCAAUGUUGGUCAUUCAUGGAACGUAUUCCUGGUGUUUUAUUUUUAAUUUUCCAGGUAUGAUUCCGUAUCCAGAACCUGACCAGACAAUGUUUCAGCAACGCAGACUUGGUGCAUUAGGGGUUGAAUGGCGUCCUUCCUCGAUAAAGUUUUCUGUUGGCCCUGAUUUUAGUUUAGGUCAAGAUUAUAUUAUGCCUCCUUUGGCAGAUCUGGAUAGGUUGAUCGAGCCACUGCCUGAGUUUAUAGAUGCUAUGUACUGGGAACCAGAACAUGAAAUUCUGAGUGACGACAAUGAUUCCGAGUACAAUGCCGAAGUUUCCUCUGAUGGAGCUAGGGCGAGUCCAUGUUCCAAUUCUUCAAAUGAACUUGAGUGCAGUUCCGAGGACAGUGACGUUGAUAAUAUUCACGAAAAUAGCUAUCAUCGGAAAAGAAGAAGAAAACAUCCUAGAGUAUGUUUUUUUCAACUCAUGCGAUUUUGCUUGUCGUUAUCUAUUGACUAACUCUUGUUUUCUCAGGCUGAGAUCGCUACUUCAUCUGGAAGGCGUGAUAAGAGGAUUUUGGAUGAGGUUGAUAGCUCGAAAUUCGGAAAUAAGAGAACCAAGAACCGAAGAAUUGGCGUGAAGGCUUCAAAAAGAAAAUAUUCUGAUGUCAAGGCAUCACGGCCGCAACGAGCAGCGGCCCAAAAUGCUCGAUCCUUGCUUUCAAAACUUUCUGGAAGCUCUUCGGAUGAAGUUGACGAUUCAUCCAACAGUGAAUCUGAUAGAAGCGCACCCCCUUUGCAACAACUGGAAAACCCAUCUCAGAUGCUGGAAUCUCUUUCAAAUGACAAACAGAAGAAAAGAUUGAUUGUAAAGAUCUCGGUUAAGAAGCCAACAGAAUCUAUGGAAAGCAAGAGAGAUGUAAUGAAUGAAGCUGAUUCGGAGCACCUUUCUUCUAAAUCUUUGGAAGACAACGACAAAGUGAUUGGUAUAUACUCCAGAGAACCUGGGUCAAGUUCUGUAGAUGCAAAGGUAGAUGCCAAGGGUGCUUCAUGGUGUCAUGAUAUACCCCAUUCUAUGAAUACUCCACAGAGAGAAAAGGCCAGAAAUCAAUUGAUAAAAGCUUCAGAUCAGGACCAGAAUAUGUGCAAGUGGCGGGAAGAGUUUCCUCUUUGUGAAUCCACCGAAUUAACUACGUCUGAGAACAUUGAGGAAACCCAAACAUUUGAUGGGUACGGGAAAUCUGAUUAUGAAUACCAAGAAAAACUAUGUUCGUAUUAAAUUUCCACAAUAUCUAAUUCCUUGUAUUCUCUUGCAGGGAUGAAGAUUUGUCAAGAGUUGAACCAUUGUCUGGUCAGUUAAGACAUUGUGAUAUAAAUACUUCCAUGGAAACUGAGGAGAUUCUUCCAAAGAAAGUUCGACGACUGAGAUUGAAGCUUCGGCAUCCCAGCAGUCCUCAAAAACUAGAGCCUGAUGAGGUAGCAAAUGAUUUGGCAGAUGGUGGAGAUGGUUUUGCAUCCAUAGCUCCCUCUUUUGUGAAUCCAAUUAUGGAUUCUGAACCUGAGAUAGAUAAUGUUAGAUGCUCUCCUGCACAUGACUUUGAGUUUGGAGAAGCUACAGCCGAUGUGAUACGUAGGAAGAGAUCCAUGAGACUGAAGGCCACUUCAAGUGAAUCUGGUGCAAGAAAUUGUGUAUUACGUGUGAGGUCGGGCUCUGGAUCCGUAGAUAAAGUAAAGAAACAAGGAAUUCCUUCCACAGGCGUGUAUGGUUGUGUCGCACUCGAAGAAUGGCCUUCUACUUCAAAAGCUGGGUCCCGGUCAAGAUCUGCAAGCGCCAGCACCAGCAAACAAAGUCUCAAUACUGGGAUUAGGUUGAAUGAUGUGUCAAGGAAAAUCUCAUGGUUAAUGCUGUCAGAACACGAGGAAGGCUGCCGUUAUAUACCCCAGCUAGGGGAUGAAGUUGUUUACUUCAAGCAGGUAGGUCCUUUUGGCUAGUAGUUUUGUCAUUUCCAUGUAUGAAUUUGGUAGAUCUGGAAGUAAUCAAAUUUCAUUGGGUGUCGUUUUCAGGGUCAUCAAGAGUUCCUUGCAACUAGAGAAUUAGAUGACAGUGACCGAUCGAGGUACCUUCCUCGAAACCUAGGAGCGGUAGAGAUUUGCAAAGUGGAGAAACUCAACUACGAUACAUAUCCUGGUUCUGGUGAAAGCUGCUGCAAAAUGACCCUCAGGGUUCUGGAUUCUGUUUCAUCACAGGGGUCCCGCAAAGAGUUCCAACUAACACUUCCGGACCUCAUUAAUUUCCCGGAUUUUAUUGUGGAGAAGACUCGAUACGAUGCUGCAGUCAAAACAAACUGGGAAAUCGGUGAUGAAUGCCGUGUGUGGUGGAGAGAUGAAUCCGGUGAAGGCGGUGCUUGGUGGGAAGGUAGGAUUGAGUCUUCACAAGUUAAGUCCACUGACUACCCAGACAGUCCAUGGGAGAGAUACAGGGUUGUCUAUGAUACUGGGGACAUAAGUCUUCACAGCCCCUGGGAGUUUGACAAUCCCCAGUUUCCUUGGGAAAACUCUACCAUAGACGAAAAGACAAGAGAGAAACUACUUUCUUUAUUUGCUGGACUAGUGAAGUCAGUCAGCAAGCAUCAGGUUUGUCUUCUCUCCCAAAAAGCUACCACUUCUCAUCUUUCUGUUACCCUGGCUUGCCUGAUGACCGUUAUUUGCUUCUGUCAUUAUGUAUUCUUCUUCAGGAUAACUAUGGAAUCGAAAAGCUUAACGAAGCUGCUCAAAAGAUGGAUUUCUGCAAUAGGUACACUUCGAUCCUUGCAGUUGAUUCUUUCAAAACCUCACUUAGCCCCCGUAAACGUGAAGACAAUGCUGGUUUUGGUAUCUGGUUUUGGUAUCUCAUAUGAUAGAACCUGUGGAUGUUUUGGUAACUCAGCUUCCGCACUUAAAAUUGCAGGUUCCCAGUUCCUUUAUACCCGGAGCUGAUUCACCAGAGAGUAGAGAAUCAGUACUACAGAAGUAUUGGAUCGUUUAAACACGACGUGGAUGCAAUGCUCUCAAACGCUGAAUCGUAUUUUGCUACGAACGCAACGAUGCGUUCUAAGAUAAAGCGACUCCGAGAGAAAUUCACAAAAACGUUAAGAAAGGCGUUACAAAGCUCUGGAUGAUGAUAUGUUUCUUUUGAUCCUUGCUGAUCAAUGGUCGGUCUUUGUAAACUCCUUAGGCUGUGUCAAUUUUUUCUUAUAAAAUUUAUAUAGCGAAAGAAAAUUACAAACAAAUGUUCGCUCUAGAAAAGAAAGUCGGUUGUAUUUUUUUGUUUGUAGGGUCACCCGACACAGGUUCAUGUAUAGAUCGGGUCGCUUUAGUUCCAUAAAACUAACAUACCUGCACUGUAACAGAAAUUUUCUCUUUUGUCACAAGAAUCGAAUGACAUCAAGAGUCUGAUUUACAAAGACACGAUGUAUACAUUUACAAAAAUUGUUCUUUUUAUUAGAAAGUAAUCAUAUGUUAAAAACGCACACUAUUUAAACAUCAAUGAGCCCAAAUGUCCUCGCACAAAAAAACAGAGUAAAUGAGCCCAUUUAAAAAAAAAAAUAAAAAAAAAAUGGUACCGAAGAAGAAAUAUUAAAUAAUGCGUGUGUGUUAAAAGUUAAAACCUAAAACAGAGACGUGAGCUGAUACCUAAAACCCUAAUCGUCGCAUUCAGAGAUAAACAACAAUGGCGGGAGGAAAGAUGAGGAAGGAGAAGCCCAAGGCGUCGAAUCGAGCACCGUCGAGCCAGUACCAAGGUGGAAUCUCCUUCCAUAAAUCGAAAGGGCAGCAUAUUCUGAAGAACCCUCUGCUUGUGGAUUCAAUCGUUCAGAAAGCAGGGAUUAAGAGCACCGAUGUUAUUCUCGAGAUCGGUCCUGGUACUGGAAAUCUCACCAAGAAGCUUCUCGAAGCUGGUAAGGAAGUUAUCGCUGUCGAACUCGAUUCUCGUAUGGUUCUCGAGCUUCAGCGCCGUUUUCAAGGAACUCCCUUUUCCAACCGCCUCAGGGUAAGAAAGGAUUGAUUUUUGGAUUCUGCUUUUUCAUUCUUGCUAACAUAAUUAAGAACCAAAUCUACUAUCUUUAGAACCAAUCUGCUAGUGUUUUUUUUUGUAAUGUCAGAAGUAAUCCAGUAAUGGUGGCUGUUGUCUUUAGGUAAUCCAAGGUGAUGUGCUAAAGACGGAGCUUCCACGGUUCGACAUAUGUGUGGCCAAUAUUCCGUAUCAGAUAUCAUCUCCUCUGACGUUCAAGCUUCUGUUCCACCCAACAAGCUUCAGGUGCGCUGUGAUAAUGUACCAAAGAGAGUUCGCCAUGAGACUCGUUGCCCAACCAGGAGACAACCUCUACUGCCGUCUUUCUGUCAACACUCAGCUCUAUGCGAGAGUCUCCCACCUUCUCAAAGUCGGCAAGAACAAUUUCCGCCCUCCUCCAAAGGUUGAUUCUUCUGUCGUUCGCAUCGAGCCUAGGAAGCCUCAGCCUCAGGUCAACAAGAAGGAGUGGGAUGGCUUCCUCAGAGUCUGCUUCAUCAGGAAGAACAAAACCCUCGGGUCCAUUUUCAGGCAAAAAUCUGUUCUUUCCAUGCUUGAGAAGAACUACAAGACUCUUCAGGCCGUUCUUGCUUCCUUGCAGAACAAUGGCCAAGCUGCUCCCAACACCGCCAUGGAUCUUGGUGACCAGAGCAUGGGAAUCGAAGAUGACGACAACGCAUUGGAUGAUGACGAUGAUGAUAUGGAGAUGGAUGAAGGAGACGGAGGAGAAGCAUCUGAGUUCAAGGAGAAAGUUAUGAAUGUCUUGAAGGAAGGUGCUUUCGAGGAGAAGAGAUCUUCAAAGCUAUCACAGCAAGAGUUUUUGUAUCUUCUUUCGUUAUUCAACAAGUCGGGUAUUCAUUUCUCAUAAUUAUAUUAUAUGGGUGGAAAAGUUUUGUUCUUUUUUUUUUAUAUUGAUUUUGAUUCUCUCAUCAUCGUAGGAGAAAGUGUACCCUGUUUUUUUUUUAUAUUAUUGAAGGUUAACAUUUGGAUGUGAAAAUCAGUUAUUCAGUUAUUGACGCUACUACUGUAUUUCUUUUGCUCACAAUCUCUUGUGCCAAAAGAAGAAAUGAGAAAAUUGUCUAGAGUUUUUGGGCUAAAAACAGAUAUGAGAGUUGAGAAGAAUCCCCAAAAAUAGAUGCAUGAAACCUGAUUGUGUCUCCAGGGCUGUGCAUAUUAAAUAACCUUUUUUUUUUUGUUUAAUCUUCUGGUUUUGAUAACCUUUCCUUGGUAUCAUGACUUUUGUUUGGAUUUCUGCUGAAAUAGCUCAUAUAGGCUAAGUCUAUCUUCAGGGAUGUUUUUAACUUGGAGAGUCUCUGUAACCUCUCCACUUCUUCUUACUCCCAGGCCCUUGAUUUUUUCAUCCUUCAUUUUUUCUCUUCAAAGAUAACUAUACGAAGUCUCAGAAAGGUAGGCAUCUUGCGUCAUAAUGCAGUAUGCCCAUCAAAGGAGCACCAUUUACUGACGCAGAAAAAAAGUUUCUUGGGUAAAACUAUGGCUGUUUGUAUCUUUGUUACACAGCUAUUUUUGAUAGUUCUGGUAGAUAUGCUAUCAGCGGUUCAGAUGCUAUAUGUAAAUCCUUGAUCGCUAUAAUGUUAGAAGAAAACUAGAAGGGAACCGCUAUAAUAUUAUCUUGUUUUUAACCUUUCUAUAUGCAUGGAAAAUGAGAAUAGAAAAACCCAAAUAUGUCGGCAAAAAGCUGCCUCCUAUCUACUUACAAUACUACUUUGGAGUUGCAUCUACCGUCCUCUUGCUUUCGAUUUCUCUAAUGAUGUUCACAAGUUGGCCCUGAUUCAGGUUUUUCUCUAAGAAGGCGUCCAUUCCAGCUUGUAUGGUUUCUCUUGCUUCCCUGGAACCAGGAUCAUGACCAGAUACAGCUAUUAUUGGUAUAUGCACACCAUAUUUUCUCUCCACUUUCCUAAUCUCUCUAGUUGCUUCAUAUCCAUCCAUUUCUGGCAUCUGUGCAUAAAGAUAGACAUGUAUCAGCCAUUUGCGAUUGUGUUAUGGAAGACUAUAUCAAAUAAUUGAUUUUACCUGGCAGUCCAUGAAUAUGUAGUCAAACGGAAGCAUAUCUCCUUGUUGCUCUCUUUGCGUAAGCCAUUCACUGACUAGACUCACAGCUUCUUUUCCACUGUGGCAUUGCUUGGCCGCAGACACUCCCAUCUUCUUCAGCUUUCUUGUUGCAACUGAAGAUGUUAUACGAUUAUCAUCAACCACCAGAACUCUCUUCCCUCUUAAUAAUUCAUCGUCGCUCGCUCUGGAAGUUCCUUGCUCGUCCUCUCGGGGCUUUCGACCAGUACGCACUGACUUGACCCAAGUCUCCUUCUUCUCUGAAGGUAUUGGUGCCAUUAAUAUUGUCUUGCCUAGCUUUUUGUUGUACCUUGAACCCGGUCCCUCUUCUUGGAUUUCACAAGGUGAUGUCUCUGCAACAUUUAGAGAAUGCCUCAGUAGCGAUUCCCUUUGCAGCUCAGUAGUAGGUGCUCCUUUCGGAUCGAUUCCUCCGAAUUCAGGCAACAUCUUCAGCACUCGGUUAAGAUGAGAUCCGUGCAAGGGUUUCAAACAAGUGAUGUCCCCUCUCUCACUUGCGCGGCCGCUCGGUUCGUUGAGCCAAACAACUUUACAGGAGAUGCCAUGGUGCAAACCUCUACGAAACUGUUCGACAAUGUCGUACAGCUCGGAAAAUGGCCCGGCUUUUGCAUCAAUCACGAGGAGGACAAGUGCAGAGAAACUGUUGCUUCUCCUUUUAGGAACUUGGCUUCUGGAAUCAAUACCGUCCAUGCCAAUCAAAGGCAACUCCCUCGAGCUCGGACUUGAUAGUUCGUUUCUCAAGCUAGACUCUGCUCGUCCCACGGAGCUCUGAGGUGAAAACCUAAAAAGUCUCUCCAAGGCAGGACUCAGUUGCUCCCAUUUUUCCACCACUGUGACUUUGAUUCCCAGAAGCUUUAUGUUUUUCUCUGUAACUCUUCUGCGUUCUUCAUCUUUCAGGAGGAGAACCACUCGAGAAGCUUCCUGCUUGGGACUCGAGCUGAGACAGUUGUUGAACCUAGGGCUCAGGUUGCGUAUGUUCAUGCUACCUCCCAAAGAAGUGUUUACAGUGAGGCCGAGGUUGGGCGUUGAUAUGUAAUCUCCUCCUGCUUCCAUGUCCGGUCUCACUUUCAUGUCACUCACCGGAGACUCUGAGGUUGUCAGUAAAACAUUGAAUUGGAAACAGGUUCCCUUCUCUCCCAUCGCCUUGUCAGUGAUUCUUAUCUCUCCUCCCAUUAAUCGUACCUAAUGCAUGUAUUACAGAAAAUAGUGUGAUUAGAAGAAGAUGCAUUCGAGAAUCAACGGUUUACUUAAGGCCAGCUUUUUGUUUAAAAGUUGCUUACGAGAGACUGCACAAUCCCGAGUCCAAGUCCAGAUCCUUGUUGUCCUUGAGCUGUUUCUCUUACCUGAACAUAGUUUUCAAACACCGAUUCACGCAUCUCCGCAGGUAUCCCUUUGCCUGUAUCGUCCACUUCAAACACAAACUCCAUCGUGUUGGCAUUGUUUCUUAUGGAAUUCGAGAUCUCCACCUCAUAGGUUGAUGACUGGUUGUCUUCGUUGUUCCUACACCACAUACACUUUGAAAACGUGCCUUUAGGCUCCGAUGCCAAGACCACUGCAGAGCUCUUGGAACCGGGCCUCUGAGCCCAAGCUCGGAUCGAAACGUGGCCCUCGGCUGUGAACUUGACAGCGUUGCUGACAAGAUUGUUCAGAAUCUGCUUUAGUUUGCCACUGUCUCCUCUCACACUCGAGUAUUUGAAAAGGGAGCCAUCGUGCAGAUCCAAAACCACAUCAACGUCUUUCUUCAUCGCGGCAGGAUGGAAAAAAUCGACCACGUCUUCAAGAAGCUUGGCCAGGUUGAACUCUUCUUCCUCUAGAUGCAUCUUCCCGCUUUCGAUUUUGCUCAUGUCCAACACUGAGUUAAGCAGAGCUGUUUCAACAUUAACAUGGCAAAGAAUCAGGGACAAAGGCAUAAUUUAAAAGAUAUUAAUGAAGCACAAGAAUCAUAGGCUUACCAAGAAGAUCCUCGGUGCAUACAUUCACUUGCUUAAGAUUGGUGUCUAGGUCGGAGCCAGGUCUAACUUCUUGGCGGCAGAGAUCAAUCAGACCGGUGAUCCCAGCAAGGGAUCCUCUAAUGUCGUGGCUAGCACUUGCAAACGCUUGAGUCUUGUUCAUGCUCUUCCUCUCGGCCUGUUGUGUUGCUUCCAUUUGGUUUUUCAGCCUCGAAAGCAUAUGCAUCUCUCUUCUCGCUGCUCUCACCAUAAACACCACAAACCCUGGAGGCCAGCACAAUGCAUAAAACGUCGUCACAAUCAGCAGAUAUAUCGUCGCAUUACUGAUGCUUGUUCCUCCUCCUUUUUUUGGAAACAUGAGUGUGUAUCUCUGACCAUUAGAAAAACAAAGUAAUUAAAUGAUGAUUCUAUCUAUUUCCAUCAAGUGAAAAAAAGCUUGGAUUUUUUAUAACAUUUUACCAGAGGCAUGCCGGAAAUUUCAAGAACAGAGCAAAAAGCUUGGAACUUGGAGCUUUCGAUCUCCAACCCGUAGCCACGGGAACUGCAAUUUCCGGGGAGGCAUUGAGGCCGCAUGGAUUUCGGUUCUCUACCGAAGCAAAACGAGCCAUUGGAGAUGAAGAAAGAAGCAUUUAGUGAACCUUGACGAACAAGCACCGUCCCGUCCUUAGUCCACAUGUAAAGCUCUCCGCCAUAAAGAUUCAAUCGGUUCAAGACACCGGUUAGAGACUUAACCGGAAAUCCUAACAGAACAACUCCUUUCUUGCUGCUCAAGCUAACCACGCUCUGAAACAGAGUCUGGUUAUCUUCUCCUCCCAAACCAGUUCCCACAAAGGAGGUGCUAGUGUGGUUUCUCUGUGCUGCUUGGAACCAAUCAGUAUGGGUUACAUCUAACGGCUGAGAUCUCGUUGCAUUACCGCUGAGACGACCGGUUUUCUGAUCAACGGUUUGAGUGUACCAAACGCCACUUGAAUUGGCAAAAACUGCGAGACUAGUGUUUAAUUUCGUCAAGUAAGAAAACAAGAGACCGUCCGUACUACUAAUGUACGAAACUUGUGAGACUCGAGGGAUCGUUGAAUAAGCUUGAAACAACACUGGUGCGAUCUGAAAAAAAAAAACAAUAUAUCAUCAUCGUUAUGUAAUGAGUAAAGUUAUCCACAAAUCAAUGGUAAUAUAUGAAAAUAACAACCUGUGAUUGAAUCUCUGUGAAAUUGGUAUUGUUAUUGGUGAGAUAAGAAUCUACAACUCUGGCUAAACUGAUUGUAGAUGAAUUUGUCUUUGGAUAGAUGAGUUUUCCAAUGUUUUCGAUUUCGGAAACUAGACUUGACCGGAGAUCCUCAGUGAGUAAAGCAGAGUCGUUUCUGGUGUCAUCCUUCGUUGCUGUGCACCACCAAAUCACGAUCGGUAUGCACCCGAAAACAACCUAAAUACACAUGAGUAGAUAUAUCACAUUAAUCGAACAUUUGUAGGUUGACAGUUUUCAUAUAUUUUGUUUGUCUGUGAGAAUGAACGAAGACACCGCAAAGGAACAAAAGACAAAUUAACAACCUAACAAUUCAUUGACGAAAAACAUUUUUUCUUUGUUUUUUUUUUUUUUUUGAUAAUACAUUUCUUCUAAGGCUUUUUUUAGCCAUAAAGUCUGCCAAAUAAACUUGUUCAGAAAAAAAAAAGGUCUGCUUAAUAAUUAGCUUGUCGAAGAAACCAGAGUCGGAAAUGAUCUCCGAUAACACGCCAUGAUUGAAGAACAAAAAAAAAGUUAAUCCUAAAAUCCAGAAGGCACGGCUAAAACAAAACAAAACAAAGACGAAGGAUUUUAAUCAAUGAAUAAACAGCAACAAUCCCUUGACUGAAAAAAAAAUAAAGACAUAAAAAAAUAAACAUCCUAAAACCCUAGAGGCACGGAAAUAUAAUUAAAGACAUGCAUAGAUUAUCAUCUAAUAAUAGCCAGACAAGAUUCAGAACAAAAAAUAAAGCGACAUCAUCGUAUGAACACAAAACCCUACUGAGUAACCUAUUUCUUCUUCUUUUUUUGUAAGGCAUCCAACGAUCAUUAAAAUAAUUUAGACCGAACGAAAACAAAAGUUACCAGGACGACGAAGACGAAUAGUGGACGAAUAGCCAGAAACUUUGUAACUUUCACCAUCACUUCUGUAAAUUUCAAGAUCCAAAACCCAAAAACAAGAAAGAUCAAACUAAUUAAUAAGUGUAUCUCUUUAUCCCUUCAUAACUUUUGAUUCUCGAGAUCCCUUUCCAUAUAUAGUUUUUUUUUCUUCAAAUUUUGCCAAAACGAUAUCAAACUUUCUCAUUAAAAAGUUAAAUAUCUAACUUUAAAUUUAAUUUCCAAAAAAAAGUAUAAUGCAUUUUUUCGUAUAACCGGGUUACAAAGACAUUAAAAUAUUGAGGUUUUCAGAUCAAAAUCACUCGAUUUCUGAAGUGCUAUAUCCAUUCAUAGUCGAUCUAUCCCGCCAUCACUCCUCAAAAAGUAUAGGGAUGUUACAUAUUGAUUUUUUUGUAGUAUAGUGUGGAAUACAUAAGCUAAAAGUGACUAGAUAUUCUAUUAUUGGUGUAAACCAGAUGAGUAAUCGAGUUUUUUUUUUUUAAAUUAAAAACUAAGCUUGAUGAAACUUGUUGUUUAACAAGACGCUAGAUUUCAUAAAUUGUUAUUUUGUCAAGAAGUAUUCGUGGCACACAACUAGUGUGAAUAUAAGAUGUUCAAAGAAAAAGGGGAAAAAAGUAGUGUAAAAAUACAGCAUAUAUACAUCCACAUGUAAAACACUAUUUAUGAAGACAAACAAAAUGUAAAAUACUAUAGAUUAUUAUUAUAUAGAUCUUCCAACAAAGAAAGUCUUAAAUUCAAGUGCAAUAUUAGUAUGAAUAUAUAUUAUGUUUCACAGAGGGGGGAAAGGAAGGUUAAUACAAACAAUUCAUGGUAAUAAAUAAAAACAAUCCUCUCAUUUUAGGAAAGGGAAAGGGAACAAUCUCAGGCAUUAGGAUUUAAGUUUCAACUUACAUAUCUAUAAUAUUUCAUUCAUUGAAAACAAAAAAUCUAUAAUAUUUCAUUCAAUCGAAAUUCAUGUAAAUGAUAUGCAUAAAAAUGAAGGAUUAAAAUCUCAGAUAACACGAAAUUGUUUUUAAAUUUCAGCCGAAACAAAAAAAACGGAAAAGAUAAACAAGUUCCUCAAGUAAUUCGAGAGAAAGGGACGAAUUAAAACGAUAUUAACCUUUAUUAAAUUGAGUGAAGCAUGUGAAAUUUAGUGAACCAUGAACAAAAUUUUGGUCCGUUCUUCGUUAUUUUCUUAAAACACAUCUAUUUGGCACAGUAGCUUUAAAUUUGACAUUUUCAAUUUUUCAUUGCCAUCACCAACUAACACUGAAGCCCACUCCACAUAUAUAGAUCGUAGGGGAAUAUUUUAUUUUUCUCGUAAACUAUGUAUAUAUAUUAUAUAUAGGGAUCAUUCAUAGGCCCAAAUGAUUUGAAGGGGUCAAUGUGUCAAUUAGAGAUUAGUGGUAUAUCUAUUAUCUAAUCUUGUUUACGCUACGUUUAUUUUUAAUGAGGUUAGUGUGUGCAAUUAGGGUGAAGUCUAAUCAUGUCCGAACCUAAGUAAAACAGGUUUAGUGUUAUAAAAUGUUGCACCUAGAGAAUUCAGGAUUUUAGCAAAAGUAAAAUCGGAUUUUGAAUAAUUUUAUUCGCACAACCGAAAUAUUUUAACAAAUUUCAUGAAUUACUACUUUGGAAUUCCAUUCAGGUCAUACUCGAGCCAAAAACAAAAUUUUAGUCCCAAUCAUUUUCUAGACACUUUUAAGUGGGGUUAAGGAAUGAGUGGACCAUGUGAAAUGAGUCUUCUUGACAUAGUCACAAAUGUCCUACAAACAACACAUUAAGGACCGUCCGUCCACUUAAGUGAUAUACAUGUGGGUGUCUAUAUUGUUUUUAUCAGUGUCCCACUCUCAAUAAAACACACUUAGAAGUCUAAUUCUUAAACGCUAAUCGUAACCGCCAAACACAGUGCAUAUUAGCGGCAGCAACUAUUAAGAUAAGAUUCUGUCCUGUGAGAGAGAAAGUCCAUGAGCUUAUAUUAUCAAAAUCUGUGAGCUUCAGACUUUCGCUCACAUGUUUUCCCAAUUAUUGCCAUUCCCUUUUUAUUUUACCUUUCAAGUCCAGAGUACACCUUUGGAUCGAUUCUUGUCUCCAUAACUAAAAGUCUAAAGUUAAACCAUUUUCGAUAUUCCGAUCGAAUUUCACUAAUACUUAGGUAUUUCCUUAUUUUCGCUGAGUUUUUAUUGCAUUAUUCACAACACUUUUCAGCAAAGCAUUGCCAAGCUGGUACCUGGCCCUCUUUUUCCGAUGGUUUCUUUUAUUUCUUUUCUUUAAAAUAUACAUUAUAUCUGUAAUAUACUAAUCUACUCUCGAUAGACUUAUAUAACUAUCUUUUAAUGACGUCAACACAAAAACUAGAUUUUAAGAAAUAUAUAAUUUUUUCCUCUGAUAGAAUUCUAGUAUCUAGCGAUCUCGUUUUCAUAAGCAGCUAUCUAUUUCAGAAAUAAACGAAUAAAACAAGGCAUAUAUUGCUUAACGUACAGAUCAAAAAGCUUUAAUACCAGAUUAAAAAGAGAAUUUGGAAAUUUAAUAUUGUUAGUUUUUUGAAAAAAAAUAGGGCUUUUUGUGGAACUGCACAUGGAUAACUCAGUCAUUCCCCCGUGAAAUCUAAUCCGAGAACACGUGCCUUUCCACAUAGGUCUCUCUGACUUUUUUUUGAUUAGUUUCAGUUUCAGCAGACAGGAAAAAGAAAAGAAAAAACACACACAGACACAAAAAUUUCAAAAUCCAAAGAGGUCUAAAUUGUGUGAAUUUGUGCGUAACUAGAUUCAAAUAAAUAGUCAUUUAAUCAUUCGGACACUUAUUUUUGUUCUAUCUAAAUCCCACGUCUUGGGAUAAGAUUCCAUUUGCCAAGCAUUUUGUAAUCGAUUAGCACCCAAAAUAAGAUAAUAUAUAUUUUGUACGCCCACUCGAACAAAUAUACUAGUGUGAUUUCAAUGAAAUGUAACGGAUAAUGGUAUCACCAUAUAUAGUAUUAGGCCUGAAUUUUUCGGGAAUUGGACGGAAAUUGACGGGUAUAGGAUGGGAAUGGGAAUUUUCGGAAUCUGAAUAUAUUACCCAAAGUAUUCUCAUAAAAUAACGGGAGAGGAAUUUACGGGUAUGGGACAGGAACGAGAAAUUCGGGAAUACCCAUUCAAAUAUUAUUUUAAUACCUAUUCAAAUAUUAUUUUCAAUCCCGAAUGGGAAAUUAUAAUUUCCUUUUCCCAAAAAAUUCGGGAAUUUCGGGACGGAUACAAAACGGGACGGGUUACCCUUCUCAAAAAAUUCAGGCCUAACUAUACGUUGAUGAUUAUGAGAUAAUUAGAUAUUUACCAAUUUUUUCGUUAGAGCUUACUAUAUUUAUCUUUAUGGUAUCUUAGUCUAUCCGUAUUUGUGGACCAAAAGUCGUAUUUAUUCUUUUAGUAAAAAAAUUCGUAUUUAUUAGAAAUACACAUUAAUUUUUCUCGUUAUGUUUCAUUAUAUAAUAUGUCUAGCGAAUAUUUCUUGUUUAAAAAAAAUCUAUGCAAAUAUUAUAUAUGUGUAUUAUACAUACUGUUUUAUGAUUAGGUUAUUUUUAAUUGAAUUUCUAAAAUUUGUUGCAAAAAAAAAAAUAAGUAUUGAAUGAUGUGUUUAUGUAGAAAAAAAUACAUUCUUUUAAUAUGCAUGCAUAUUUUACACCAUAAAAAAAACUUAUAUAAAAUUAGAGAAAGUAUGAACUAUGCAACGACUGAAUCAUGUAUAGAGUGAAAUAUGAAAUGUAUUACGAAUAUUUGAAGACUUUUCAAUACAAAUUUAGUCUAAAUUCGGUUCUGAGUGAUAUGGUUUUAGAUUUAGUAUUAAACUAUUAACAUAUUUCUCUACUAAUUUUAAACCAAUUCACUUUGCUUUUAUAAAUUACGGAUAGUUUUAAUUAAAUUAACCAAAAAAAUAAUAUCGUUAUUAUUUCAAUGAAGCUCAAAGUGGAGAUAUUCAUUACAAAUACAACUAGUUAGAAACUACUUGAACCUUGCUAAAAUUAGAGAUGCAUUAAGUGGUUUAACUUGUUUGUCGAUUUUGAUAAGGAUAUGGACAUACAAAAUUAUGACAUCCGAUUAUUUUUUUACCUUGAAUAUUUAUUUAUUUAUCUUUUGGUCUUUUCCCAGAAGGAAUAUCGUUUAAAUUGAUUUUCCAUUUUGAUUCGAUUUUUAAUUAGUUGUUUGGGCACAGGUUACGGCUUAUGAAUCGAUUUAGAAGUAAUCAUCAUAUUUAAAUUAUAGCAUACUGUAAGUGUUGAUUUCGUGGUAGCUUAGUAUAUGAGCAUAUCUUAUUACUAUAAUUUUAAUGAGAUUUUGCUAUGGCAAUGCGUCUAUACGAUUACGUCAUUGAGUGCCCUCUAGGAUGCAAACAUGUUUAAAGAAUGGGGACCAUUGCGUUUAAUCAAACCUCAUCUUUAAGUACUGAGUAUUUUAAAACUUUACAACUACUGAGAUAAAAUAAAAUUACUAGUAUAUUAAAAUAUCUUCUCUUGAUGUCAUUAUAAUAACAGAUAGAUUCCCAGUGCUUUGAAUUUACUCGAACCAUCCUGGCAAAAUCUGUGACCACUAGCUUUAAACCUAACGUCUUCAUCCAUGACAGUGCCUCGUAUAUAUAUAUAUAUAUAUAUAUAUCUCUUUUUUCUUUCUCAAUGUGGUUAUAUGUACUUAGGUCACAGUUUUUAUAUUAAUACAUUGAAAUUUUGAAAAUAUCACUUAAAUGUUUGGUGGAUUCGACUUGUUUCUAUCUAACAGUCAUCCAAGUUUUACAUUUUAUUGGCAAACAGAUCAUUUGGAGAAAACACAUGUUUUCCCUAUAUAUUUUUCAUUGUGCCACUGCAAGGAUAGAUGGAGAAACAAAAAUAACUACGUGAUUAGAGGAUAAUAAUAAAAUGUCUUUUUAGUAGAAUAUUAUAUGGUGAAUGAAAUUUGAAAAGUAUUUAUCAAAACUCAUAUAAUAUGUAUAUAUAUAUAUACGCACAUAUAUAUCUGGAUUCACCUGUCUUGACAUUAAGGGGAAAAAAAUCUAUAGAUCGAGAUAACGAUAUAGUUCUCGCUAUAAAUUAAUUUUAAAAUAAGAUUGAUUUUAAAUUAAUUUUAACUGCGAGAAUGUUUUACAUUCUGUUUUCGUUUUUUCUACUAAAGUAAAGAUUCCAUGCCAACGUCAAAGAAUAUAGUGCUCAUUUUUUCUACAUACAAUAAUUUAUAGGUGCAAAUAAAUGCGGGAAGAAGUCGCACAAAUAAAAUAAUCAAUUAAUCAUUUUUUUCUUGGUGUUGGAUUAUAGUGAUACAAGAAAAUAGAAUUCCCAAUUAUAAGGGCUAACUGUCCCUUCACAGCUGAAAAAAAAAUAACAUAUGAAAAGAAAUGGAAUAACAUUGCAUUUGCAUAUAAUCGUGUAAUAAAUUAUUUGAUAUUAUUCAGAGGAAGUCGGGCACAACAUGUGUUUUUUCCACUUCUGCAUUUAUUUAUUUAUGAUGAGCCUGUCUUUUAUUUUUAAGAAAUGUUUUUGCCCUCUUCCUUUUUAAUGUACCUCAAGUCCAUCAAGUAUAACAGGGUACUUGCUUCUAUUUUUUUAUAACCGUUUUGUAAUAAUUUUUCUUUUUGCAUGACACUAUGGUGGAAAAUUGACGAAUACUUAAGAGUACGGAAAUACUAUUGUAACUAGCAUUAUAAGAAAAUAGAUUUCAUAGUUUAGCAAUUUGUAUAAUAUGUGAUUAAGAUAAACACCAUUUUUAUAAUAUUUUUAAUAUAAAUUUUAAUGUGUCUUUGUCUUAAUUUAUUUUAUGUUUGUACCAAUAAGGUUUUCAAAUACAGGUUUAUAAUGUAAACAAAUUGAAACGAAUCUAUCUUACUUAUUAUUAUUAUUUUUUUAAAACGUUAAAUUUGGCGACACAUAGCUGUAAACCUGUAACAAUGAUAUGUAGCUAUGGACCCAAUUUUCUUUUCCAUACAGAACAUAAUUCGCACCACUUAAAUUAAGUCAGACUCUAAUGGAAUCUUCCGCCAUUAUUGCGAUGCCCCCAGCUCCAAUCAGAUGAAAAUCUACUGCUUCAGCUUUCACCUAUUUUCUCAUUAUUGUGAUUGCAGUUUGAUUUUAUGCAUAAAAGUAAUAAAAAUUUAAACAAAUCAAUUAUAUAUUUUUGGAUUCAGACGCAAUUCUAUGUCAUGCUUAUUCAUUCCUUACAAAUAUAUAGCUUGGAUGGUAUAUAUAUAUGGUGUACAAAAAUAUAAUUAGACAAUUAGAGAUUUAUUAUACUGAAUACAUAUUAAUAUAAGUAAAGAUGGUAUACAUACGUGGAAGCAUAAGUGUUGUAUAAAUUUAUAAUUAACAAAAAUUAUGUACAAACCACGAUGAUGAUAUAUGUAAAUACAAAUAUCAUAUGUGUCGAAUGCCUUUUAACCAACAAAAAAAAGUUAUAUACAGUAUACUGUAUAUAUAUAUAUAUCUGUGGCAAUGCACACCGCUGAUCUGUACAUGUACCAGUCCUUUCGUUCAUUGGUUAACCUAGUUGAACGUGACACAUGUCGGAAAAUAAACUGGACUAUUUCUGACGUGGAAAAGCAUUUUAAUUAUGUGAUUUGACAAGUUUAGGCAUCGUUGUCAGAAAAUUAGAGUAAUUAAGUAGAGCCACAAAAAACAGAUUGAAGCCCCGUAUCAUAUUUGCUCACACGGUACGUAAUUCUAUAUUAAGUUUAAAACCAAUAGGCAUACUAUUGUCCAAUUUAAUUAUAUUACUCGAUGUCUUGACAUAAAGGAAAAAAAAAAUUAAACCAAAUAAAAACUUUGUAAAUAGUUGAUUAAAAAUUGAAAAUCACGAUUCUUGUCUUGCUCCUUACAGCUUACUAGAUAGUUAAGCGCACCAAACCAACUUUUUCGUUAAAACAAAUCAUAAUGUAUUAAUGUUAGAUGCUUAGAGCUACUUUCAAAUGUUACCACUUACCCUCUAAUAAUCUACUUAAUUACAGUAAUACCAUACUUUGUUUGUGCCUAUUGAGUCACUGACCCACACCUUGCGCACCACGAAUAAUUCCACAGCGGGUUGGUUCAAAUCUUGUCAUAACAUGUAUAUACACGUCUAUCAACCGAGUAGCAUGUUGGGUUACAUUUAAUCUUGAUCUGGUAAACGCAGGAGACACCUAAAUUAAGAUCAUGAAACAGAUCUAAUAAAGGUAUCCAUUGUUUAUUGGUGAUUAUGAAAUCCAAUGAGUUCGAUAUUCAUCAUUGAACAUAUAACAUGCAAAAUAUAAUGUAUCCACUAUCUAAGCAUUAUAAAGUGCCACUAUAUGCAAAUAUCCACAUGGCCAAGAGUCCAAGACUCAAACGUCGCAUUAUCAACAUUACAGGCUCGAUUUUUUUAUUUGUAAAUAAUAUAUAUAUAUAUAUAUAUAUGGAAGAGGAGAAAUAGAGUUGAAUAGUUGAUAAGGAUGAUAAUCGUUAUGGGUUUCUAAAUAUUGCAAUCAUUUCGUUAGCCAAGGUCACAGUACUGUCAGUACUAGAUAUGUUUAUUCUAACACGAAUAUAACGUAAAAUAAUUACGGAACUAAUGAACGGAUCAUAGCAUGCAUCAUGCAUAUUAGCAACUAUUUCGGAACGAGUAUAAUUAUGAAUGAUAUAUACAUAUUAGUUUUGAGUACUAGCUACAUAUUUUUUUAAAAAAAUUCAACUAUAAUAUUUAAAAUAUAAAAAAAAAUGUAAAUUGUUAUGUUCUGGCUGUAUUUAGUUUUUUUCCCCGUAUUUUGGUUUCGUGUAUCUUCAAUUUCAAAUUUAUGCAUACAAAUGUGUGGUAACUAAUACUAUAUUAUAUUGUUAAUAAGACAUUAUUUGAUUAGUAAUCGAAAACUGAGGAAUGACAGUGUGAAACCUAAAAUAUGGCUAUGUAGAAAAUAGGGGAGAUUUUCAUAUUGGAGAGAGAGAAAGAGAGAAUAUGUAAAAGAGAAAGAAAUGGUGUGCCAGCUAUGAAUUUGAAGGAUCAAAGCUUUCUCUUAAGGCCAAAGCUGUCAUCUCUCCCUCUAACUCUUUCUCUCUCUUCCUUAUAGUGCUCUGUUUCUUCCCCCCCCACAAUCACACACUCUCCUCUCUCUCUCUCUCUCUCUCUCUAUCUUCCUUUACAUUCACUUCUCUAUCUUUUUUAUAUCUUGGAGGUGAAGAAGCAAAGAAUUUUGGGGCAGCAGAUUAUAAAAGUUUCCUCGCGUUGAAAGAUUUGACUGUUAAUCUUGAUGAUUUAAUCGAUUGAUUAGAUCCACAAGCUCUUUCUUCCUCCCAAAAAAAAGAAAGAAAGAGAAAAUCAAUGGCGGUUUAUCCUAAUGUUAAUGGCGAUAAGAAGCACUGGUGGUUCACUCAAAGAAAGGUAUUUAAAAAAAUUCUCAAACCCCUCAGAAAAUGUUAUAUUAUUGAGAAGGGAUUAAUAUUGGAUUUCAAAGAUUUUAAAUUUUUCGUCCUUGAAUCUUGUUUUGUCUCUCAGCUUGUUGAUAAGUACAUUAAAGAUGCAAGGACUUUGAUGGCAAGUGAGGAGCUAAACGACGUCACUUCAGCUGUUCAUUUGCUUGACGCAGCGUUGUCCAUAUCGCCGCGUUUGGAGACGGCGUUAGAGCUUAAGGCUAGAUCUCUGCUUUUCCUCCGUCGUUUCAAAGAAGUCGCCGAUAUGCUUCACGAUUACAUUCCCAGUCUUAAGCUGGCCGUUAACGACGAAGAAGCCUCCUCUCUAUCGGAAGGCUCUUCCUCCUCCUCCUCCUCCUCGCGCGACGGAGUUAAGCUUCUCUCCGACGCGUCUUCACCCGGACAUGAUUCGUCGUUCAAAUGCUUCUCUGUUUCUGAUUUGAAGAAGAAAGUGAUGGCAGGGAUCUGUAAGAAAUGCGACAAGGAGGGGCAAUGGAGGUAUUUCACUCGUUUACUUCGAGUAAACGCACCGCAUAAAACGCAACCGCUAAUUUUUGACGUUUUUUUUUUCCCAUUCUUCCUUUCAGGUAUGUUGUGUUGGGGCAAGCUUGUUGCCAUCUAGGACUAAUGGAGGAUGCGAUGGUUCUACUUCAAACCGGGAAACGUCUCGCCUCCGCCGAGUUUCGUCGCCGGAGUAUUUGCUGGUCCGACGAUAGCUUCAUACUCCUCUCCGAAUCCUCCUCCGCGUCUCCACCACGCAACCUCACGGAGAGCGAGAAUUUCACUCACCUCCUCGCUCACAUAAAGCUCCUUCUCCGUCGUCGCGCCGCUGCAAUCGCCGCACUCGAUGCCGGGCUUUUCUCUGAGUCAAUCCGUCACUUCUCGAAGAUCGUCGAUGGUCGUCGUCCUGCGCCGCAAGGAUUCCUCGCCGAAUGCUAUAUGCACCGGGCCGUCGCGUAUAGAUCGGCCGGUAGAAUCGCGGAGGCGAUCGCCGAUUGCAACAAAACCCUAGCUCUUGAACCGUCAUGUAUCCAAGCGCUGGAGACCAGAGCCGCGCUUCUGGAAACAGUACGGUGUUUUCCAGAUUCGCUUCACGAUUUGGAACACUUGAAGCUUCUCUACAACACAAUUUUACGAGAUCGGAAACUUCCAGGCCCGAUCUGGAAGCGGCACAAUGUCAAGUACAGAGAAAUCCCUGGGAGAUUGUGCGUGCUGACAACCAAAACGCAGAAGCUGAAGCAGAAAAUCGCAAACGGAGAAACUGGGAAUGUCGACUAUUACGGUUUGAUCGGAGUCAGACGCGGAUGCACCAGAUCAGAGCUGGACCGAGCUCAUCUAUUGCUGUGUUUGAGAUACAAACCCGAUCGAGCCUCGUCUUUCAUCGAACGGUGCGAGUUCACCGAGCAAAACGACGUCGAUUCGGUCAGAGAUCGAGCGAAGAUGUCUUCGCUGUUGCUUUACCGCUUGAUUCAGAAGGGAUAUUCCGCCGUGACGGCGAUCAUAGCCGAGGAGGCGACUGAGAAGCUGAGAAAGAACACUGCGGCGGCUCAGGCUCAGGCUCAGGCUCAAGCUCCAACGCCAGUACAGAAGACUGAAGAACGCAAACCGGUUGAAAAAUCCGGUUCGAUUAAGAUAACCGGAAACAUUGAUCCGAAACCGGUAAAUUCCAAUGCUUACCAAGGAGUUUUCUGUAGAGAUCUCGCUGCUGUCGGGAAUCUACUAACUCGGGCUGGUUUUAACCAUCCGAUCCCGGUUAAAUACGAAGCUCUCACCUGCUAAACAUUGGACCGGCAUUUUUCUACCAAAUCAGCGAACGCAAACGCCAAUCAUUUUUGAAUACUUGUCCCGUACAGAAAGAAAAGAAAAAGCAGAAGAUAAUAAUAAGAAUAUAUAAUGUAUGAAUACAAAUGAAAUGUUGUAGAUUAUGGAAAAUUUUGUCACUUUAUUAUCUCCGAUGUUCGUCUAUUUCUAUCUAUUUUUCUUUUAAUGUGCAUAUAAGUAUAUAACAAAGUCACAGAUCGAAGUUCAAAUUACUCACGUAAAUUAAAAAUAGUUUUAUAUCAGAUUUAAAUGUUCUUCUAUUCAUUCCUUAGUUAUAAUUUUUUGUGCAACAAUUUUUUUUGUUUGUGUGCGCAACAUUCUGUAGCUAUUAGAAUUGUGCUAAUGGUAGUUUGUUUUCCCUUUAUCAUAGGGUUGUCGAGAAUUUGCAUAAAAAUGAGUCGAGGAGUCUGACACACGUCAGUAAUAUUUUGAGUAAAUCCUCUACUAAUGGUAUAGGGAUGAUUCAUUAGGGGCACAUAAAAUUAAGAUGGCAAAAAUGAAAUAAAUUCAGUUCAAAAAAAAAAAUGAAAUAAAUUUAAAAUGAUACACUAGCUAUAUAAUAAUAAGAUCAAUGUCGCGAUUCACGAGGCUUUUAUUGGUAAUGGGUCACUGGUAUUUAAUUUGACUUAUGGCGGUUACAAUUUUAAAUACUUAGUGAUGUAAAGGUUAAGCUUCUAUAUUAUUAUGAAUGGAGAUUACAGCAUACAUACAAGACUACAAGAGAGAUUACAAGAGCAUAAUUGUAGAGAUUGAAGAACUAAUUGUAUAGAGUAAUUACAUGAAUGAUAUGAGGGAUUUGAGAGAAUAUGAUUACAGUUCCUUAACACGUUCCUUCAAGAUGUAGGGUUGGUGACUUCAAUCUUGGAGCAUAGAUCUUGAAAUGAAGAGCAAGAGAGUGGCUUUGUAAGAGCAUCCACCAAUUGAUAUUUAGUUGAAAUAUGUGCCAUUCGAAGAAUACCCGCUUGAACUUGAUCCUAAAUAAAAUGACAAUCCAAACAAGGUGUUUCAUACGAGAGUGGCACAAAAUGAUCUCGUUCUCGAUCUCCAAUAGUUUAUUCACUGCACUUUCUCCCCAUGUCAAGUAACAGCCCCUUUCACCAUAUUUUAUGAGUUGCAUGAAAAGCCUAUACCAGUGGUGGUUAAUUCUUAUAUGUAUAUAUUUCUCUGUUUUAGAGAUCGUGUUUCAAAAUGUAAACCUUAUAAAUAAACUAUGUCGAGACCACCCUGUCCAAAAUUGAGAAAUUUCGCGUGGACUUUAAUUAGAAUUAUUCCAAAAUUGAUCAUUUGAUAUGCCAGGUGUGUUUUGCUUGGUUCAAUAGUUUGCUUCAAUUUAGAAAAAGAAACGAUAAGAAGAAUCACCAAACAUAGUACUUCGAUAGUUAAGAAGCGUCUUCCCCACGCAACCAUAUGUCACGUUGGGGUUGGCUCGGCUCAACUCCUUUGAAACAUAUAUUUACACGUGUACGGGUCAGGUCACAGAUUGCAGGGAUGGCAUUUGUCAUCGGUUGAGUUCCAUGACCAGUUCCACUUUCUCGAUGAUGUUUUGUUACUAUGAGUAUGGACAAAGGAACGAUCAUCCACAUUUUACCAAAAAAGAAAAAAGAACGAUCAUCCAACUCAACCAUGGCUUCCUUUCUGGUAACCCUAACUACGCUAGUCUCCUGCGAUGUUUCGGGAGAAAUUUGGUUGAGAAAUCACUCUUCUAAUUCAAAUCUUUUCCCGAUAAUUUGUAUCGAUUCUCAAUUAUCAAGGUAUAAAACAAUGAUCUACAUUUGGUAGCUCAAAUAUCUUUUCAAUAUGCCAUCAUUAAUUAUAUAUUGAUAAAUUAUUAUUAACCUAUAUAAACCUAAGAUGAUGAUGAUGUACGGCAAGGACCAGAAGUGGAAACAUGACAUAGGGGUCAAUUUAGAGAAUUUAACUAGUUUACCACAACUAGUUACAAAUUAAUAAAAUGUUACAAUGGAAAAAUGAUCUUAUAUGGUCAUUAUUUAAAAUUCUUGAAGCUUAGAUAAAGAGGUUUGGCGAAUGGGGAAGAAAGACCUAUAUGUUCAUAUGAGAUAUGAAUUGUCGGGAUCAAUUGCUAUGACCUAUAUUUGAUAAUUCACUGCUCGGUGAUGGUUUAAUAUACUGAAACUGAAAGUAAUCAACAGUACAUAUUUUCGGUAGAUUUGAUUCUGGGAGGAGACAGGUUUAUUUUUGCCUAAAAAGACAUGGGCCGAAGUCCGAAAUUUCUCAGUUAUUACUUAUUACUUAAUAGAUAAAGGUCAUAUUAUACAGGGUUACAUAUUUCAGAUUUUGUAUGAAAUGUAGUAUUAAUAGUAGUAUUACACCAAAAAAUUGACCAUUUUUUUUUUCUUUCUUUUAAGAUCGAGCGAAGCUCAGCUUAAGUUUUAAAACGAAAAGAAUAUUUAAAAACAAUUUAUGUCUUCUCUUUGCGGAUUAUAUCGUAUGCGCGUACUAACAGAAAGGCUCGUUUGACAAUAAUAAGUGUGCCUCUAAAAGCAUGUUCGUUGGGAAGUCUUCCCAUUUUUAGGCUCAGAGUACAUAUGCAAAUGUGAUUAAAAAUAAAUAAAAAAGUCCAAGAUGGAAAAUUCGGGUCUUUAAGAUAACCCUGAAAACUCCAGGUUCGUCCAGGUUCGUCUAAGUGGCAAAAUAUCAGCGAAUUUUUUUUUUUAAUUUUUGAAUUUAAAAAAAAAGAAAAAAAAGAAAUUAAUAUCUGAUCAACUACUGCAUUGCAUAACAAUCAGACAUUUAUAUGAUUUGAACAUUAAUUUUCGUAUAAGUUGGGUAUUUUAAUAGGUUAAAAUCAAUUUCAAAAUUUUUUAUAGCAAAAUAAUUAUAAUCGCAAUGCUUAUCAUCCAAAUUUUAUUUUUGUCAGUACAUGUUUUGUAUAAGUAGCUAGCUAUCUGUAUAUUACUAGGAUUGAGUUUUCACAGUGGUAAUACUGUCGAUCAGACCAUAAUAAAUUGAUCAUAAUAAUAAUAACAAAAAAAUGAGAAGUUUAUGUUUUUGACCUAACAAAAAUGAGAAGUUGGUCUUUUAGAGUACUAGUUUCGAUGACUUUUCUAUAUAAGAAAAUGAUUUAUUCCCCUAAAUAUUAUAAUUGUAUUUAUAUACUCAUCACAAGUACUUUGUAUGAAUGAAAUGGUCAACUCAUCUUAUGGUGAUCUAUUGGUAAAAAUAAAAAUAAAAAAUCCCUCUUGAGAAUUAGUUUGGGUUUUAGUGUUGCUCUAAUAUUUAACAAAAUAGUUGCUGUUCGGAAAAUUGAAUAGUACCAUGUACGUACUAAGGUCUUUAAUUUCUCCAUUAGUUAGUCCAAUAUAACUACGAACGGAAGUGCAAAUAAUGACAUGUGGGGAACACGUAGUUAGAUGAGUAGUAAAUGGGAAACAUAUUUGGUUGGUUGUCCUCAUAUUUUCGUGUAUUGAGUUAGAUAUGGAAACUUGUCAAAUUUAUUUUUCCAGAGAUUCCAUAAGAUUCCGUCGAAUAUAAUUGGUAUAUAUGGCGGGCGAUACAACUUUAGGUACGUUGUUGCGCAGUGUGUAGAUAUAUAUUAAUUAACCAAUUUAACUCGUUUGUUUGAUUAGGACCAAAAGCAGCGACUACAUUUCAUUACUUUCAUUAUCUUAAUUUUGAUUUUCUUGUCCACUUUGUGCAGAUAUACAUGUAGUAUAAGCUAACGGGUUAUGGUUCUUCUACAUAAGGAAGAUAGAUCUAUGAGAAUAAAGUGUGAGAAAAGAAACAGAUGUCUAGAAAUUUUGUGAGUGUGUUUUACAAAGGUAUUUGGUAGAAAUUUUGUACUAGUUGGAAGUGUUGCACGAAGUAAAUAAUGUAAGAAGCAGAGUGGAACGAUGGCUGACGUUGUGAAUAUUGUUAAAGCUAGUUUUAGUUAUUUUUAUGACGGUGAAGGAAACAAAAGUUCGAUAGGGAAAAAGAAAUCAUACGUUGGCAAAAUAAUAUGUUAGAUUGUUAGGAAAGUAAUUAGCUAGAAAAUUGUUAGGGUUGAGAAGAUGAUUCUAUGUAUUUUUUUUUUUGGUCGACUAAACACUGAUUGCUUAGGAAUUUUAAUGCAUCGAGAUCGUGUUAAUAGAAAACGUGUGAAAUAGGGAGUUAAUUUAGUGGCAAUUAAAUCCGAUUAAGAUGAAUUUGUAAAUUACCCAACACAUCUAAAACUAUUUUCUUGUGUCAAGCUAUUUCCAUUUUCUAAAUCUCUGAGUUAUUGCCUUUUCAAACUUCAUUUGUUCUCGAAGUUGAAAUGGUAUAUCAUCAUAUCGCUGAACGCACACGUGUUUUGUAGUGGGAGCAAAGAGUCAAUAAACCAUCUGAUCUGGUCAACGGACCAAGAUCCGGAUAUUUUAUAUGUUAUUCAAGAUAUGCGAUUACCAUCUAAUCUACGUAAUUCACGUGACCAUCAAUAACUACAUUUCAUCUAAUUUAAAAUAUUUGAUAAACAAAUUAAGCAAAAUAAGAAGAAGAGAAAAAAGUAAUGUCAAUAAAUCAAUAAUGAUCUCAGGCACACACUAGAAUAAAUUAGCGUCUAAAAGAACCACGACGAGCCUGCACGGACCGAUCGCGAGUCUCUCGACGGUGAAUAAGCCACGACUUCAGUCUCGUUCUCAACCAACGUGGCGCUUCACACACCACACACGUGUCAUCAUCUCGUUCCCCCUUGAAUGCGCGAGCUAGUUAACCCUCUUUUAAUUAAUUGUCCAUCUUCCGCUAUAAAUACCAAAUCAGUCACUUUUCCUUCCGUUGUCUGUCACUCAGUAACUUCUUUUUCUCCUUCACUUAAACACACACACACACUCUCUCUCUCUCCUUCGCUUGACUUUUGUGGUCAGUGAGAGAAUCAUAAAUACAUAUAGCCGCCGGAGAAAAUGGGAAGAGCGCCGUGUUGCGAGAAGGUGGGGAUAAAGAGAGGGCGGUGGACGGCGGAGGAAGAUCAGAUUCUCUCCAGCUACAUUCAGUCCAACGGUGAAGGCUCUUGGAGAUCUCUCCCCAAAAAUGCAGGUAUUUAAUAUUUACACAUCCUUUUUGUUUUCUAAAAUGAUAAUUACACAUACAACAAUGUCAUGUAACACAAACUUCAAGCUACUACAAUAUCUGAGAGAUCAGAAAAAUAAUCGUGGCUCUUGUCGUAAAUUCCGUGAAUCAUGGAUUGUUGGUUAGUUUUAUUUCAUGAUAUGUUUGGAAGCAAAUUUAAUUAAGUUUUUUUUUUUACAUGUGAAACGUUAUAUUUGUAACCCUAAUUAAUCUCGUGUCAGUUUAAUUUCAGUGCUUUGUUUAUUUGUCAGUGUCACGGUCACGGUGGGUUGUGAAUGUACGUACGUAUACCAAGUGUAUGACUUUAAAGAGUUGGUUAUAUACUUAUAGUACACGGACAAAUGUUAAAAAAGAAAUUCGAAUAGAUGUGCGUACUUAUAUAUCUUGUCCGUUGUUUAUCAUUUCACGAAUAAGAUAAAAAAAUCAUAUGACUAAUUUUGAUUUGAUUUCCAACUCCGUUUUUAACAAAGGAUUAAUUAAUGCAGUAGUUGAGAUAUUUUUGUAUCCAUACGAUAUACAUGUAAAAAAAUUCUGAUCAGAACGCUAUAAUCUCGUGAGCAGUUAUAUUAUAUCAGACCCCCAUAAAAUACAUAUUUGUUUGCCCGGUCAAAAAUGUAUACAUUCUUCGAAAAAAUAAACGUGUAUUAAAAACAAAUAAACAGAUGUUGAGUUACUAAAUUUGGCAUGUAUUAUUACUUUCUUAAUUUUUUAUCUUUAUAUUUUUUUUUUGUGUAAAAAGGCUUAAAAAGGUGUGGAAAGAGUUGUAGAUUGAGAUGGAUAAAUUAUCUUAGAUCUGACCUCAAGCGUGGGAACAUUACUCCUGAAGAAGAAGAAAUCGUUGUUAAAUUGCAUUCCACUUUCGGAAACAGGUACUCUUUUAAUUUAAUUGUUUCCCCUUUUUCCAAUUUGUUAACGGACAAUUGACGGUCAAUGACUUAUAUGCAUCGUAUCAUAUAACAAUGAUGAUUACAUGUCGAUCAAAUAAGCAAGGCUUGAUGUUAUUGUGAUCCUCUCUUUUCGUUUAGCGAUUUUUUUUUUUUUUUUGUGGUGGACAUUUUUGCUAUGGUCGGGAAUAUUAAUUUACAUCAGAAGAUUACAAAACUUACAGUAGUAAAAGAGACUUUUUAAUUUCGUCGAACAAAAAAAUAAAAACAACCUUUUGUUCGUUGUGGCCCUUGUGGGUCACCUCUUGAUGCUUUUAUGUUGUCAGACUUUUUCUCUUUUAGUUGAGACAAACUAAUUGUACUCUCUAAUAAAUGUACACUUCAUAUAUAACGCAAGCAGUAAUUGGAACACACACAUAUAUAUAUAUAUGUGAUUUCUAUAUAUAAAGUUAACAUGCUAAAAGGCUAAAAGCUCUUAAACAUAGAUAUGAGGCACCGUCACUCAUUGCUCGAGUAGUUUUUGGUAUAUGUUUGUAUUGUAAUUAAUAAUUAUAAAAAGUUUAGAAGCAUGGUUAGGUCAGCAGUCGUAAUAACGUGGCAAAAUCAAAUUUAAAACAGUACUGGCCACUAGUCUAUUGAUUCCAGUCGGGCCACGAAAUUCUCUUAAUCCCCGGAAGGAUAUAUUUAUUUAUUUAUAAGGUUGGUCAAAAUUGUUGUUAUAAGAGUGUUAAUCAAUGAUAUAAUGUUUUUUUGAUGUAAUAAUGAUGUAGGUGGUCACUAAUUGCGAGUCAUCUACCAGGGAGAACAGACAACGAAAUAAAAAAUUAUUGGAACUCUCAUCUCAGCCGUAAACUCCACAACUUCAUCAGAAAGCCGUCGUCGAUCUCUCACGACGUCGCCGUCGUAAUCAUGAGCGCUCCUCCAGCGUCUCCGCCGGCAAAACGCAGACCAGGGAGAACCAGCAGAUCCGCCAUGAAACCCAAAACUCACUACCCCAAAACUCGAAAGUCAAAGAAAACGUCUGCACCGCCGACGGAGACAAACGCAGACGUAGCGGUUAAAGCGGUGGCGGGAGAAGAAGCAUUAAUGAUGGAGUUAAGUGGAGCCGAGAUCGACGACUACUAUGGAGCCUGUCAUGAAAGAGGAGAGUGUUGCAAUAAUAAUAAUAAUGAUAAGAAUAAUCUUAUGAUCAGCAUUGAUGGGGACAAUGGAGUUUUAUCCUUUGAUGAAGACAUCGCUGAUCUUUUGUUGGACGAGUCAGAUCCAGGCCACGUGUUCACAUCAUUUGGUGGUGAUCAUGCAAAGUCAAAUCAUUUAGGAGACUCUGAUGGAGCCAGAGGGUUCUCGGAGAAUCUCGACUGUCUUCAGUCUUGUCCGUCGGUGGAGUCGUUUCUCAACUGCGAGCACCAAGUCAACGAUGCGUUGACGGAUGAGUUUAUUGAUUGGGAUUGUGUUUGGCAACAAGGUCAUCAUAAUAAAAACCUUUGGGAUGAGAAUGAGGGUUCUGAUUCAAUGGUCUCGUGGCUUCUUGACGGUGAUGAUGAGGCCACCAUCGGGAAAAGUAACUGCGAGAACUUUGGAGAACCGUUGGAUCAUGACGAGGAAAAUGCUUUGGUCGCUUGGCUUCUGUCUUGAUGAAGAUGUUAAUCAUCUCUGUUAAUUAAAGUUUCUAGUGUCUUUUUGUAGUUUCAGUUUGAAUCCAUUCCAUGUGGUAUGUGGUGUCAAUGUGUCAUCGACUUAUGCUUUCUCUAAUUGUUGUAUGGUUUCUUCUUUUUAGGUUUAAUAUUUUGAUAUUGUGAGUAAUAAUACGAGAAAAUAGUAAAAAAAAAAAUAUGAACUUUCAAAAUUUUGACCAUUUAAAACAUUAACUAUGAUGUAGGUAUUUAAAUCAUCAAUUUUUAUUGAUUUUAAAUUUCAAUCACUAAUUAUUAAUUGACUGAGUCAAAUUCGACAUAACUUUAAAUUGAUUAAUGGAAUGGAUAAAACGAGAUUAAACCGCUAAAAUCACAUUAAAUUAAGUAAGUAAAACAAACGAAGUUGUUUCGUCCAUCUUUUACAAUUUCAACCAAGUUACUUUACUUAAAUGUCUUUUUCUAUCAGAACCAAAAUUAAUUUGUGAAAUUAUACAUAGCAGCUAAUUAAAUCCUUAAUAUUCGUAUGAACAAUAUAUACAUACAAUAGCUUCAAACAAUUCGAGUUGUUUCUCUAAAACUUGUUGAUAAUAAAAUCACAUAGCCGCCAAAUUAUCCUGAAUUCUUGACGUUCAUACCCAAAAAUAAGUUGUAAUUUGUCAAGCGAGAAACUCUUUCACAGUUACAAGAUAUAAGACCAAAGCAGAUAGCAUCCCAUUAUUGGAUUUCCAAAGAGACAUAAUUAUUCAAAUCCUCACGCCUAAGAAAAAAUAUACCAAACUCUGGCUUUUACGAAAAAUUCGAUUACAAUAUGAGACUCAUAAACGUUCAACACUUCACUCAGUUGCUAGCUAGACUGGCGCAGCUCAGGUCGAACAAAAGAAUGAAAUCCAAUAAUGGGAUCGAUAUAUGCUCUCUGCUUUGGUCUUAUAAACAUACCACGUGUUCACAUCGUUUGGUGGUGAUGCGGAGUUGAAUCAUUUAGGAGACUCUGAUGGAAUCAUUUAUCUGGAUUCCAGAGCUAGCAUUCAAAUAUCAAUACAGAAUAAGAUAUAAUCACGUACGUCUAUGUAAUUCCUAAAAAUAUAGCAGUAUCUCCUUUAGUUCAUAUAAUCGUCAGACAAUUAUAACUGGAGUAACGAAGAAUUAUAUUGUCUUUUCUUUACAGCCAAAUAAUAAAAGAAUACAACGUAUAAUCUCUAGUUUGAAGCUAAAAGGUUUAUUUGUAUGGCUAUCGACUUGGAAAGCCUUGAAUCCAAUGCCUCCUUCAGUCAACUGGUUCAAGGCUAUCUGGUUCUCUGGUAGAAUCCCUAAGCACUCUUUCAUCUGUUGGUUAGCGGCGAGGAACAGAUUGAAUACCAGAGACAGACUUCAAUCAUGGGGCCUCAACAUUCCAUCGACCUGUCUCCUCUGUGAUGUGCACGAUGAAUCGAGGCAGCAUCUGUUUUUUGACUGCUCCUUCAGCCAAGAUGUUUGGUCGUAUUUCCACUCUGCUGCAAACAUUGCUCCGCCUAGCAACUUUGAUCAGCUACUGAUUUGGAUUAAAAACGCCUACAGUGACAGUAAUACUUCAACAAUUAUGAAGCUCUGUUUCCAGGCAUCUCUCUACGGAAUCUGGAAAGAACGAAACUCGAGACUGCACAAUGCCACCUCCCGUCCGUCAUCGGUCAUCAUCUCAGAGAUAAAGCGAACGAUCAGAGCCAAACUUGAUCCCAUGUCUCGCGCUCAAACAUCCACAUCUCUCUCUUAUCUCGGCACAUGGUUUUCCUUCUUCUCUAACUGAAGCUUUGGCUUCCUUUUGGAUUGCAGAUCAAUAUUCUUUUUUGUAAAUGAUCUGUUGCAUUGGCGCUAUAACCCUGAGGGGCACAGUUGUAACACGUUUUAUAAUUUGAAUGAAAACGUUUAUGCUAAAAAAAAAAAAAAAAAAAAGAAAAGGUUUAUUUGUGCUUACGAGUAAAAUGAUAGCUAUUUCUCUAAAACCAGCAUACAGCUGCAACACAUAUGCACGUGGCGAAAUCAAAUCUUAAUGAAGGGUGUUCUCAGUUCUAACUUCUUUGUACGAAACUACGAACAAGUAGGUAUUUAAUUAUUAUGGACGUUGGAACAAUAACACAGUAUUGUCCUUUCUUUUUUUGUUGGGUUAAAAUGUCUUGCCCUUCUUAUUAUAGAGACAUGAAAUUAAUUAUGUUUCUGUAAACUUGUAGUAAGUAGAUCUAUACAUGUGACCUAACUUUAAUGUUAAUUAGUGAAAACAUAGUUGAAGUUCUCGUUGAAGAAUUUUCACUUAGAUAAAUGUGCUAAAUAUAAUUAAUGCUCAGGCGUAUUAUACUGUUGUUUCGGACUGUAAAUGAUGUACGAUCUUAGUACUCUUGAACCCACAACUUUUAUAUAAAAAAAAACAAUUUAGACCAACAAGCAAUUAGAGAUGAUGACCUCUAGCAAUUAGCAUGCAUUAACGAAUUUCAAAAACACUAUAACAAAAAAGGGACGUAGAGAUAUUUUUGGGGCAACGACCCACGCAUUAAAUUUAUGUUUGGAAGAUGGAAUGAAAUACUAGUUGGCAACACGGCAUGUACAAAAAUAUGAAGAAUUUUUUUUUCAAGUGGGAUGUUAUUUCUUAUUUUCUCAAUUUCUUAAUUUACUCAUAUUUUAGUAUACCCAUAAUACAUAAAAGAAAGGGAAGUAAAACAGUCGCUUUCUUAUACGUCCGACUUGGUUCCAUAGUCUUUGGAAUACCCACGUGAUGCCAUGUACUUUUCUCGUCUAUUUUUUUUUUUCUUUUUUAAUUUUAUGUUCUACUAUGAGAAAAAUAUUUUUGAAAAUAUACGAAACUUAGAGCAUAUACAUCAAAUGAUCAAGAGGGGUUCAUGGCACAGUUUUUGAGACAAAAGAGCUUAAUUUUGAAGAGACAGUAUUAUCCCGACAAACCUGAAGAGACGGUAUCAUCCUGAAAUGGAGCAUUUUGAUAAUUUUCGAAUUAAAUAAAAAAAUAAAACUAAAACCAAAAAAUAAUAUAUUAUUAUAUUCUGGUGAACCCCUCUCUUAGAAAUUCACUAAUGUACAUACUCUUAGUAGUAUGGCUCAGAAUAAAUUCUCAACACACCUAUUAAUUGUUAGAAAAAAAAAAACUGAACUUUUGUAGCAUAUUAUAUAUACACACACGGCUUCUUUUAACCAUCAUUGUUUACACUUGGCUAAUUAAGAAAUUUAUUUCGCCUUUUCACAUUGUUAUUUCUAAGAGCUUCGGAUUGUCUAAUAUUUUUAGUAAAAUUCGAAAUUUUAACUCGUUCAGCUUGUUUAUAAAACCUGUUUUCGAUUAACUUUUUGCCAGAGAAAGCCCAUCCAGGCCCAAAUAAAUCACAUUUGUUUUAUCGGUCGAUGACUGGGUAAUAUGAAGCCCAUCUGCCAAUUCUCUAAAGAGAGUGCCGUUUGUGGGGUUACAUUACAUAUUUUAAAAGUAAGGGCGUUUAACGAAAUUGUAGGAAAGUUCAGAGCUUUCCUCUCUAUUUUGGAAAGACUUUUUCUCUUCUCUUCUCCGUGAAAGAUGUGGAAGGCCAAAACCAUUCAUAAUCCGACAUGUAACCCAGCCACGUAGUAAGUACACUCGAUCACCGUUCGUAAUUAAUCUGUGAUUAAAUCGACGAUCCACAUCAAGCCAUGUCAUUAAAUAAUUUAUUCACGUUCCCAUUUUUCUGUAUCUUCUUCUCGACGGGAAAAAUUAUGGACAUUUUAUAACACAGAGUACUUCUGAGAAAGAUCAAAGCUCCAAGUGAAAGAAGAAAAAGAUGGCGAAAUCUCAGAUCUGGUUUGGUUUUGCCUUUCUAGCGUUGCUUCUUGUGUCAGCCAUAGCGGACGAUGUGGUUGUUUUGACGGACGAUAGCUUCGAGAAGGAGGUCGGUAAAGAUAAAGGAGCUCUGGUCGAGUUUUACGCUCCCUGGUAUGGUUCAGUUCCUUCAGUCUUUUUUGGCGUUUUUGAAUUAAGCAGCUGUAGAUUCGAGGAUUCGGAUUCCGAUGAGAUCCUUUUUGUUAGAUUCGUGGGUUUGAUCUGUAAAUCUUCUGUUCGAUUUGUCAUGGAGGAUAUGUUUUGAUUAGUGAUUGCGGUCUUCCGGAUUGUUAGGCAUGAGUAUGUUGAUUUUAAAUCGAUGAACAUGGUUUUAUUGAGCAACUAGAGUUACUGAAUACUGAUGUCGCUGGUGAAUUUUACAAUGCGAAGCUUGAGAGGGGACUUCUAAUCUUUAACGAUAGAGAAUUAAGUUGUUGAGAAUCCGCUUUUGGACUUCUUUUCUCUUUCUUUCUUCAAGUUUUAAAUAUUCUGUGUCAUUUAUAGGUGUGGCCACUGCAAGAAACUUGCUCCAGAGUAUGAAAAGCUUGGGGCAAGCUUCAAGAAAGCUAAGUCAGUGUUAAUUGCAAAGGUCAGUGUUAUUCUUGAUUUGUAUGUAGCUCCAAUAUUAGAUAGAUGUGAUCGAUUCUUUCGUCAACCUGUGUAUUGUGGUUGUCGGAGAGAUGAUCAAUCCUUUCAUUAAUUUGUGUAUUGUGGUGAAGGUGGAUUGUGAUGAGCAUAAGACUGUCUGUACUAAAUACGGUGUUAGUGGAUAUCCAACCAUUCAAUGGUUUCCUAAAGGAUCCCUUGAACCCCAAAAGUAAGCCUUUACAGAUUCUGUAAGCAGAUAAUUUACUGGAUUUUUUUUUAUAUAGAUAGUGAAUGAUGCUUUUUUUUUUUUUAUCAUGUUAUCUUAUUAACAGGUAUGAGGGUCCACGCAAUGCGGAAGCAUUGGCUGAAUACGUGAACAAGGAAGGAGGUAGUCUCGUUGAUGAUAGUAGCUAAACUAGUCCUAUUUUUGGGAUUUUAUACACAUUACAUUCCGUCUUUUCAAAUCUACUUUUUGGAGAAAUUUGUUUAGGCAUGGUUUAUGAGUUAGAUUCAAUUGGCUACAUGUUCCGUCAUUUGUUUCUGAAGAAUUUUAUUCUCUGAGAUGCAAUUGUGUAGCUGGAAAUACAUUGGUUGGCACCAUUUUCUCAAUAUUGCAUAGGUUAUAUGGUCGAAAAAUCAUUUUUCUCAAAGUUUUUUUUUUAAAGUCAUUUUCCUGUUGUAAAAGUCUUGUCUUUAAAACUAAUAACUCUUCUUCAAUAAGUUUUUUGUUGCGACUUGCCUUUUUUUUGUACUUACCUAUGUUCAAGACAACUUGUUUAUUCUUGAAACAAAUAUGUUUUCAGGUACCAACGUGAAAUUAGCUGCAGUUCCACAAAACGUUGUUGUGUUAACCCCUGAUAAUUUCGAUGAGAUUGUUUUGAACGAGAACAAAGAUGUCUUGGUCGAGUUUUAUGCGCCAUGGUAAUAUCUCUUUCAUCUUUACCAUCGUUUUGCUCUCACGCUAUUUUCUAAUUUCAAGUUUUCGUUUUCCAGGUGUGGCCACUGCAAGUCCCUGGCUCCUGUAAGUUCAACUAGUUGUCUACUUUAGAUAUAACAAUAGUCCACUUUCAUUUUGUUAUUAACGCUGCUUUUUUUGUUUGUAUCAUCAGACAUACGAAAAGGUAGCCACGGUGUUUAAGCAGGAAGAAGGUGUAGUAAUCGCGAACUUGGAUGCUGAUGCACACAAAAGCCUUGGCGAGAAGUAAGUUGGACAAGGAUUUUUGACUUACCGACUUUACUAUAUAUAAAUAAAAUCAUGUAUAUUUCGUAAAUCCGAAGGAUGAUAACAACAACCUAUUUUGUCCAACAGGUAUGGAGUAAGUGGAUUCCCAACAUUAAAAUUCUUCCCAAAGGACAACAAAGCCGGUCAAGAUUAUGACGGUGGCAGAGACUUAGAUGACUUUGUAAGCUUCAUCAAUGAGAAAGUUGGGACCAGCAGAGACAGUAAAGGGCAGCUUACUUCAGAGGUUAGGAAAAAAAAAACAUCUCUCUUUUAGAAUCACGGUUUCUUUCCAAAGUUUAGAGCUUUCGUUGACUUAUCUCUUUUUGAUAGGCUGGUAUAGUAAAAAGCUUAGAUGCGUUGGUAAAGGAGCUAGUUGCAGCCAGUGAAGAUGAGAAGAAGGCAAUCUUGUCUCGCAUCGAAGAGGAAGCUGGUAACCUUAAGGGCUCCACAGCAAGGUAUGGUAGCAGUAGCGUGAUUAAGAUUUUAAAGGGUUUCAUUUGUUGUUGCUUAAAUUACUGAGCUUUCAUGAUGUCUCCAUAGGUAUGGAAAGCUUUACUCGAAACUCGCAAAGAACUACAUAGAAAAAGGUUCAGGCUAUGCUAACAAAGAAGUCGAGCGGCUUGGACGCGUCCUUGGCAAGGUUUAAAAAUCAUUUCUUCUCUCUCUCACUCACUCUCUCUCUAUAUUUGUAUAUAUAUAGAUAUACACUAGUAUUAGCUUAUUGCUAAUUUAAUGUUAUUAUCCCGAUUCUUCACUGCAGUCAAUAAGUCCGGUGAAAGCUGAUGAAUUCACUCUCAAGAGAAAUAUCCUUAACACGUUCGUUGCUUCUUCUUAGAAGCCAAAGUUUGAAUGAAAUAGGCGCAGCCUGAGAGAAUAGGAGUCGCUAUAACUAAUACGAUUUGUACUAUCGGUGUUUUGGAGAUUUUAUGCCUGUCGAGAUUUGUGGUUAGUUCUGAAACUCUUUUGAAUCAAGUUUCUUUGUCUCUUUUUUUUUUUUUUUUGGUAAACCACCGGCGAUAAUCAUGAAUUUUUUUCUCUUUUCGGUUGGAUACCACCGUACCAAAAUUACAUGAACAAGUGAGAGAGAUGAGAACAUCUCUGAUUUAAGAAAUUAUACGACACAUCACUUGUCUUACUGCAAUGUGAUUGGUUGUCUGUCCCCUAAACCGUAAACCUUCACUUUGAUAAAUCCGAAAGAAGAAAAUCAUUUUGCAUAUAUAAGCAUUCCUAUAUGAUUCCUAUCUCCAAAAUUAAACAAAAUCACAUUUCCCUAGUCGUAUUGUUUUUUUUUUUCUAGCACGAUGGGCCAGGCUCAGAUACAUAAUACAUGGGCAAGCAUGCACCCGUAAGUAAGUCCGUAAUGGGGCAUUUCUUUUUCCACCGAACAACUGUAGUUUCAAAGUCUGAAUGAAACGACAUCGUUUGUGAUUGUGCACAUCAAAUUAAAAUAUUAAACAUUAUUCGACUGCAAUAUGUUAAAUGAUAUUUGAUGCGAUACACAUUUUUUUGGCUUGAAACAUAGCUCAGUAUAGGAAAAUGACUUCCAAAAAAAAUAAAAACAGUGAUGAGUCAGUAUGUUACAUGAUCCCCUUAAUCAAACAAAAAAAAGUAAAGUCCGAUUACAACGUAAAUCACAGCAAAAGGUUCAUCACAUUCUGAAGAAGAAAAAAAAACCACAUUUCUAUGUCAUUUAAUUCUUUGAUUGUGACAAACAUUUCGGAUAGUUUAUAAAGUACUUUUUAAAUAUUUUUCCUGGCGUAAACAGCAGGCGACCAGGAUGCACCGCCGAGACUGUCAUGAACAAAACUCGCCGGAAAAAUAAAAAAGAAAGUCAAAAUCCAUGAACAAUCUGAGAACACUUAUUCCUAAUCCACCGGAGUCCAUUCUUCAAAGUCGAUUUAACUUUUCCUUCCACCGUAUAAGCUUUAUACCUCGCGAUUCUCUUCUUCCUCUUCAUCUCCGCAUCGUUAAAACCCCAAGACGGCUUCCCCGACGACGCGUUGCUCCUACGCGCCGUUACUCGCCCCGGCGGUGACGGAGGCAAAUCCCAAGCCCCGUAGUUCUGAUUGCUUCCUCCCACGCCGUAACCCUUACUACCGCUCACGAGUUCUGUCCUCCGAUCAACGGUGUAAGUUCUCUGACCCGACCCGUACCCAAAACCAUCCUGCCCGUCCAUUUCCCCUUACGCCCGAUUUAUGAUUGGGUAGUUAAUUAGACUUACAGAACUCAGCAGGUGAGAACCAAACUCUUAUUUGGCCCCGUCUUUUUCUUCUCCUUAUAGAUUAUGAAAUGAAAGCUUUUCCUUUUUGCGUAAUUAACAUCAAAUUUAAUGUUUUUAUUUGUAUUGUAUUAGUAGUAAUUGUGAUGAACAAUUCAACAUACAUUUGAUAGUAAAGAAGUAUCAGGAAAUAACAGCUUACCACCUUAGUAGACCUCAUAUUUAGGCUUGAACCACCUGUCACAUGGAAUCUACUUGUGGAUUCACUGAAUUUGCUUGUUUUUAGUUUUUUUUUGUAAUACAACUAUUCCCUUGAGUUGCUUGUUUAGAAAUGGCAGCUGUUAAUCUGCAUAUACAGAUCAAAUCUAUUCUUUCUACAAGAAAGUUCUACAAGAAAGAAAUUAAGACAUAAUAAAAUUUCAUUUUUUUUUUUGGUUUAGUUUGGAUUCAGUUUAAGCUUGCAAAGAAAGAAAGAUAUCAUAGCUAAAGGUAGUUUAUCUUAAAGUAAAGAUUUCAGAAAACCAAUUAGGACAUAUGUUCAAGGGAUCUCUCCAAGUUUAAUACUAAAGUCUUUAGGGCAAUCAAUCAAUAUAAUGGGCCAUAAACAAGAUUUAGGCAUUUUCCAGAUAAAAUGUGGGCUAACUUUCAUUAAGGCCCAUAGACACAGUGGAGACAUCACAGAAAUGACGUGAGAAGGAGGAGUUGGUUCGCCGGUCGUCGUCACUCUUUGUACUUUAAAAAAUAAAAAAUAAGUGCACAAGAAGCAGCAUGAAACAUUGAAAUUUGGUUGGUCCAUGAGUCCAUCAUUAUUUCUUAUCAGAGAGUCUCCGCAUCGAUGCAGUUCUUAAUUUUUGUUUAAUCUUUUAACUGAUUUAAAAGUCACGAGAUCCAACGGUCAGGAUUUAUUCAGAGGAGGUUGAGGAUAUUACAAAUACAAAAACACACAUGUGGCCAUUAAUUGCAACAGCAAUCAUCUCGCUGUAAACGCGCAUCUGAUUGCGUUUUUAUGAAUUUGUUUCCCCGAAAAGGCAAAAGUUGAAAUUAACGAAAUCUCUGUUUGAUUCACAUAACUGAGUAUUGACUAUUCCCCAUUCUGGAUCAUUUUGUUGUUGUCAGAUGAGACAUUCAUAGCUUAUUUAAUGAUUUUUCCUCUUUCCCUGCAUGAAAUAUUAAUUGUAGGGUACCUGAAUAAAAAAUACUGGUAGUAGUAUCGAAUAUUACGUUAUCGAAUGCAUAUCGAUCCAUCCCGUGCUCUCUUUAUAAACAAACCAAAAUUCUCCGUCUCUCUCAUCACUACUACAAUUCUCCACUGGCUACUCUCUCCCUCUCUAUCUCUCUAGAUAUAUAGAUCUAUAGAUUAUAUAUAUACACUGUCUACAACAUAUACGUACGUGUACAUAUAUAUAGUGAGAGAGAGAGAAAGUGAUGGAGAUAAGGUAUUGGCGGAGGUCGAGAGGAUACGAAAGGCUAGAUGGGUCGGCGAAGAAGGCGAAAUCGGGUCGGGAAAAUGUGAAGCGGGUCAAAUUGGAUCGGACCCGGAAGAGAAGGUUUUGGAGGAUCAAGAUAGUGCCGAAGCUGAGGAUCUUGAAAAAGAAGGCGUCUCCUAAGAAGCUUUUGACUCGGCUUCGAGAUGCUUACGUCAACAUGAUGCUCCGCCUCGCCAAUUCUCGGGUCAUCGGGUCGUCGUACGGGUACGGCGAAUACGGGCCGUACGGGUCGGGUUUGGCGUCCAGAGAGUACGAUGAGAAGAAGCUGGUCGAGAUUUACAAAUCGAUUUUGAUUGCGCAGGGGACUCUCGUGCACCCCGAUGUUCCCAAACUUUCCUCCGAUUCUGUAAUUAAACUCUCUCACCCCCCACUUGGGUAAUUAAUUAAAUCCAUUUACAAACACACAAACCAAAUUGGAGAUUAUCGAUGUUCAAAGUUGUGGUUGUGAUCACUGAUCACUGAUCUGUAUUAAUGUUACUAAUCAUAAACCAAAGGUAAUAAAUUAAUAAUUCUUCCCAUGUUCUUAAAUGAAUGUUUUUUUAAAAUGUCUGCUCAUAAACUCAAAUAUUAUCAUUUUUUUUCAAAAGUAAAUUAAACGCUUAAAAAUAUGGAUAUACUUUUUAAACAAGUAUUGGUUACCAAUUUAACAUUUUGAUAAAAGAAUCAUCAAUAUUUGGCAUUUACGUCGUAACAUACUAGUAACAUCUAACAACCUUUUUCUGUUUUCAUUUAUUAGUUCACCGGUACGUGUUGGCAUUCUCAUUAUUUUAAUGUAUUUAUCCAAAUAGUAUAUACUUUGGUUGACUUUUUGUUUGCUUGACCAACUACGCUUUAAAUUCGUAUCUUUACGUAUGGCUAUGAGUUGUAAAUCGUGAGUAACGACCAAUUUUGAAACAUUGGUACAGUUACGAGUACUUGACGAUGAAGAAACCGUCAUUGCUUACAUCAUAUGCGAUUCAAUGAUUUGUCUUCUGUUUUUUACCUUUAUCUGAGAUUCUGUUGUAAUUAAACCUUAAGUAUGGUUGUCUUGUCUCCUGUACCAAACAAAUAAUCAUCAACUAGAUUAUACUCAUCGAUUGUCUGAGAAAGAACCAAAAAAGAAGAAGAAGAAGCGAAUAAUAUAUGUAAUGUACUUACUGCUCGACCCAUAACAAACAAACAAAAAACACCUAGUACACUGUUUCACUAUAGCUGGUGGGAAAAAGAAAAGGAAAAAGAGACUAUCGAAGGUGAAAAAUAAUACUAACUCGAAUCAAAGUGUACGUAGGUUUCAUAAGUAAACAGCUAGUAUCAAUUUAGCAUUCAUGUGUGCAAGCAAGGCUUAAACAUUAUAAAGCAAUUAUUAUGGGUUGAAGCCCAAAUGAAUCUACACAUCAUUUGGCCUGAAUAAAAUUCGAUGUUUGUAAUUUUAUCCUUUGCCCAUUUCAUAGAGAAGAAUCAUCAUCUUUAGGAUCCUCCUCAGUAAUCAACCUCCAAUAUUUUCUAACAACGGGUUUAUGGUUCGUUACUUUCUAAAAUUAUUCAUAAAACAAUGUUAUAUCAAAUAAUUUAAUUGAAUUUAACUGUUUGGAAAUAACAUGCAUAGAUUUGAAAUUAUAAUUGAUAAUAUCGAUAUCGUUACAAAAUAAAUAUUAAUAGUAUAUGAACCAUCUACAUAAACUUAUAAAAGUGAUAUAGUAUAUGUUAAUAAGUUUAUACUGACAGUAUACAUAGAGUUUGACAGUUUCUGAUAUAAGGUUUUUGCAAAAAUUGGUGGGUUGUUUUUUUGUAUAUUUUUCCUAUAGUUAUUAUCUAUAACAUUUACAUAACAAGUACUCUUAUAUUAUAAUUAGUUUUUUUUUUUUAUGAUGCUAUACAUAAUAACUUGUUUGUAGUAAUGCUUAAUGGCAAUUACGGCAUGCGGAUGGGACCAGAGUUUGGUGUUUGGUUGGUCUGAUUCGUCUGGCUGCGAACGAAAGUAUAAUAUUUUAACUAAUUAUAUACUAUAUUAAAUAAAACAAGAGCCAAGUAAAAAAUAUUCAAUUUUCUCAUCGUCUCCCUCUCGUUGAAUAAUCUCAUCGAGUUAACAAAACGAUUUCUUCAAUGUUCUUCGUCGUAAUUUUCAGAUUCAUUUUAAUAGCAUCGUGAAUUGGACUCGGAGUCGGAUCCCUGUCGGCAAUGCGACGCUGGUUCGCCGCGAAACCCCUCUCGAGAGAGGAAACAACCUUUUUGUCAGUCUCGCAAGUCUUCUUCUUCCCGCGUUUCCGUAAGGCUCUUCCUCUUCGUCCUCUCCGUUCAGAUCCAAGAGAUGUCCGCUAAUUCUCACCCUCCUAAUUCCAGAAAUGUCCUCUGUAAUGCAGCCGCCGGUGCCGCCGCCGGUAAUUCUCUGAUCUGCUUGAAUUCGCGUAGAGACUCAUCUUGAUCGUGGGGAGAAACACACGCACGGCUUCUCUUUUAAUGGUUGUAGGUUUUUGAUUUCGAAGCUGAUUAAUUUUUUGAAAAUAUUCGGAUUUGUAGGGGUUUUUGCGGCUACGUUUGUGUGUCCUCUUGAUGUUAUAAAAACGAGGUUUCAGGUUCAUGGGCUGCCUAAGCUUGGUGAUGCAAACAUCAAAGGUUCGUCCUUUUUUAUAAAAAAUCUUCUUACCCACCAUCAAAGAUGCUUCAAAACUCGAAAAAGCUUUCCAUUGCUAAUGUCUUUGUCAUCUCCAAUUGUUUAUUUAUUUUUGUUUGGUUUUCCUUUGAUCAGGUAGUCUAAUUGUUGGUAGUCUUGAGCAGAUCUUCAAGAAAGAAGGGGUGCGUGGCUUAUACCGCGGACUUUCCCCAACCGUGAUGGCACUUCUCUCGAAUUGGGCGGUGAGUUGGAUCUCUAAUUACUGGAAUAUAUUUCUCGGCUUUGUUUGGAUUACCAGAGCCAAGUGUAUUGCUUCUUCAAAGGUAUGAAACUAAUCAUGUUGUAAGAUUUUCUUGCAGGUUUAUUUUACAAUGUAUGACCAGCUCAAGAGCUUUUUAUCUUCGAAUGGUUAGUCCUUAAACACAAAACAUUUCUUUAUAUAUUAUUUUUUACUUCUGCUUUGGUCUAAUCAAUAAGUAUAUAUAUAUCUGGUUCUCUGUUUGUACAUACAUUAGAUAAGGAUCACAAACUCAGCGUUGGUGCCAACGUAAUGGCAGCCUCUGGUGCUGGAGCUGCAACUACAAUAGCCACAAAUCCUCUUUGGGUUGUCAAGACUAGACUUCAGGUCCGUUUUCUCUUGCCUUUGAUAUAUGCAUUCAUGGAACCUGAAGAACCUCACCAAUCAUAGAUUGUGAAUUUCUUUCACAGUAAAAACCUUUUUUAAAACACCAUCUUGAUUCCUCUUCAGACACAAGGAAUGAGAGCGGGUGUAGUGCCAUACAAAAGUACACUAUCUGCUUUAAGGAGAAUAGCUUACGAGGAGGGAAUUCGCGGAUUGUACAGGUUUUUUUUUUGCUCAUCUCGCCAACACGCUUCUCUGUUAACCGAUCAAAAAUGUCUUUAACUAAAUGUCAUCCUCUCCCUCUCUUUGUGCUACCGAUCAGUGGUCUUGUGCCUGCACUAGCUGGCAUCAGUCACGUUGCUAUUCAGUUUCCUACAUAUGAGAUGAUCAAAAUCUACUUGGCCAAGAAAGGUAAAUUUAUCCAUGCAUCUUGUGAAUUGGAUGAAGUACGGAAAACGGUGAAGUCUUUAUGGAGAAAACAUAAGAUAAACUAUGUUUGUGAAUUCGACAGGUGAUAAAUCAAUCGAUAAUCUCAAUGCUCGUGAUGUAGCAGUGGCCUCUUCAAUUGCAAAGAUAUUUGCUUCCACAUUAACCUACCCGCACGAGGUAUAAACCUCUACACAAAACUUUGGUUUGGUUUCGGUUAGUUUGUUUGUUAUAUAAAGCAAAAAAAAAAAAGACCAAACCAAUCAAAUUCUUGCACAAAAUUUUCAGUUCGGUUCGGUUUAUAGGACGUGUUGAUUUGACUGCGUGCAGGUUGUACGAGCUAGGCUUCAAGAGCAAGGACACCACAGUGAGAAACGUUACUCGGGAGUGAGAGAUUGCAUAAAGAAAAUAUUUGAGAAAGAUGGCUUUCCCGGUUUUUACAGAGGCUGUGCCACUAAUCUCCUGAGAACAACUCCUGCUGCAGUUAUCACAUUCACUAGCUUCGAAAUGGUUCAUCGUUUCCUCGUCACUCAUUUACCUUCUGAGCAAAGCUCUAUACUUUAAAUUGUUUAUUUUGAUGAUAGACGAUUAGAUGUGUGGUUUAGUGAGGUAAACAGGGCUAUUUUACACAGUUAAAAGUUUCCCCCUUCUGGGGAGUAACUCAAAAUAGGAAUUCGUUUUUGGACAACCCUUAGAUUCAUCUCACAGGCUUAUGUUUCUGUUGGAGAAAUCAGAAUCUGUGUGGAUUUAUGAAGAAUGGAAAGUUGAGAGACCCACAAAGAAUAUUUAUCAUGGCAUUGUAAAUGACUGAAUUCUUUUAUUACUCUGUUUGUGAAAGAGAGAGUUUGUGGUCUCUCAUUCGCCAUGCUCGUCGAACAUCUGGGCUUCAUGUUACAUGUUACUAAAGGAACCAUUGACUUUUUUUUGUGUGGAUUCCAUAAAACAACCUAGCAAACAAAUAUAUUAUUCGUUGACGGUUGACCAAAAAUUAUUAUCCUGGGUUUACCUUUUUAUGCAGAAAUAUCUGGGCCUUGUGGUUAUGGAUUUGACUAUAUGUUUUCAUUAUAGCUUCUGUAUAAUUGGAUGAGCUUUGGAUCCAUAUCAUGAUAUUUUAUAUAUUGAAAAAUAAAUCAAAAUGAAAAGGAAAAAGCUAAUGAAUUCGAAUAAUAAUGAAAUUGAUGGGUUGUUGUUGCACUUUGCUUUUUCCUUUUAAGUAUCUAUCAAAACAUGGGAUACUUUUUUUUUUUUUCCCUGUUCUUAAUUUGUUAUAAUUGUGAUAUAAAAUGAAUCUAUUACGGUUUCACACAUUCUAAAGGCCAAAACAAAAAAAGUGAUUUCUUGCAUUGACAUAUAUGAAAAUUGUUAGCACUAGCGGUGCGACCACUAGAGAAAAAAAUACACAUAUGUAUGAAAACUGUUUUAAAUUAGUUUGAUCAAUUCAUAACAAAAUUUACCGUAUGAUUUUUCUUUCUUUCAAUAUUCUGAAUACUUAAUAUGUAAAUUUUGUUUAGUAAAAAUCAUCAUUUUUUCCACUGUUUUGUCCGUGCACGCUAUCCCCAUUUGUUCAUUCGGUUCUGCAUUUACUUAUUGUGCUUCUAUUUAAACAUACAUUUUAAAAACAUAUUAUAUAAAUCUAUAUCGUUUUUUAUUUAUAAAAAUUCCUGAUUAAGCUAAACAACAAAAAAGGAACCGUAAAGGGGAAAGAAAAAAAAAAGAGAAAACGGAAAAGGAAACAUAUGAAUCGAGAGAAAGUAUAUCUUUUAUGAAGCAUAGAUGACAACAUGUGAUCGCAGCAAUUUUUGUAAUUCCCAUACAAUUUACAGUCAUGUUUGUGGGAUCGGGAUUACAUGUGAUGCGAGUGCGGUGAGCUUAAUUUAAAUAUAAAACGACAAAAAUAGAUAUCAGGUUUUACAGUAAUAAAGUCAAUCCUAGUAGUAAAUGAUGCAAUCAAUAUGACUAAUCAUCUCUCAUGUCGUGAUUACAGUUGAAGCGCAUCUUAGGGAUGAUGGACAGUAAAUGACGCCGUUAUGUUUUAAGAUAAUUAAUUUAUUGCAAUAUUACAAUGCCUAGCUUAUAGUUAGAACAGUCUAACAAUAUUUUGCUAACAAAUUUCAUGUUAUGUGUAUUUUCAUGAAAAGUAUUAAUCAAAAUAUUUUAAUAUCAUUGUCCAUAUAUACAAAGAUACAGUCAUGUUUUUUCGGUAAUCCAUUUAAAACACUGGAAAAAGUGGAUUAUUAAUUAGGGGGAUCAAAAGAUGCUUUAGCUCACCAAAAAAAAAAAAAAAAAAAGGAAAGGUAAUGAAACAUCAAAAACUGUCUUGGCAUUAUAAUUGAAUCCCACAUGCUCUGUUUCUCCUCUUUAUUCUUUUCCUCCUCAAUUUUGUUUAAUCGAAAGUUAUUCUAAAGGUAAAUCACAGUAACUUAAUUAUGUUUAGAUAAGGACAAUGUACCAACGGUUCAUCUGUUUGGUCACCAAAAUCUUAUGUUAUUAUUAUAUUAUUCAGACUCCUUGCUCAGGUAGCAUUUUGAAAUUCAGAAAAUCUAUAGUUUUUCAAUUAUAUAUUUUUUGUUUGGUUAGGCAAGAAAGAAGCGUGGGUGAUGACACGCGCCAAAGUAGGCGAAUGGACACUUAUUCUCAUACACAGUGACACGGAGAAAGAAAAUGUCACCGAAGUUACGUGGCAGUUAUCUGUUCGCCUGUGUGAUUGACUCCGGUGACAGUCGGUCGUAGUACCAUCAUAGUCGAUGUCUUUGUGCGACGUGGGUCCCCGUCUAAGACGCUCUACGUGGGGUUACCUGCUAGGCUCGUAUUCAGGUUCGGCUCCGAAGCACUAAUUUGAAUUUUUUGAACGUUGAAGCUAACCCACUUCGUUUCGUCUAUCUUUAUUAUUAAUUUUUGAACAGCCCUUGGUUCGUCUAUCUAUCAAUCUCAAAUUCCAUUUUUUAAACAAAUAUGAGACGAUUAUAAGUUUAUAACAAUCUAGAAAAUAUAUCAACAGGAUGCUUUAAUCAAAACAUCGCCGUCAGUGUUUGGUGGUGUGGUGAUCUCAUUGACACCGUAGGAUGUUGACACGUUGCCCAUAUACAAUGUUUAAUUGUUUAUUAUCAACAAUGGAAUUCAUAACCGUGAUAAUAAUAAGUUUCCAUAUCCAUUAAGUGCGUCCGUUAUGAAAUAAAAUGAUCAAUAUUAGAUUUGUUGCUGUCAGUUAUUUUUCCACGAAAAUUAUAUUGUCUUUUCUAAAGACCAGAAAUCUAUGCUGUCUAAAGAUGAACUUGUAUAUAUUGUAUUUGCAUAUAUCAACAAAUGUAACAUAAACAAUCCAUGUGUUACACAAGUAACACAACAUAGUUUAACAAAGGAGUCAAAUGAAAAUUCAUUGAAUGAUUUUCUUACACUGUCUUUUCGCAUUUCUUGACUUUUUCAUAUUUUUAAUUAUAAUUUCUAGAGAUGAUUAUACAUUUAAAUCCAUUCUAGUUAAUGCUAUGCAAUAUUUUUUUGACCAACAAGUACAAUAUAUAAUACUCAAAAUGGUAAGUUUUUUACAAAAUCAUAAACAAACCGCCCGUUAUAUACAUAAUAACUUCGAUGGGAAAUGAAUCAUUAAUCCUAUGAUAGUUACCAAAUAAUGAAAUGGAUAGUUUGUUAGAGAACAAAUGGGAAUAAAAUAGUGAAGAGAUUGGGUAAUGGACCUAAUUCUUAAUGCAGUAACUUUCAACUAAUUCUCUGCUUUUGGAAAAGAAUGUCUCGCCUAACAUUCUACUCAACAUUAUAGAAAUAAGCAUUCAUUGUAAUUAAUUGUUUCGCUUAAUACGAGUAAAACCUUUUUUCAUUUAUUUCUUUGCUUCUAAAGCAUUACAAAGACACAUGGAUUCAACUAAUUCACAACUACUGUUCUAAUGUCUAUCUACAACGAUUUGUUACCGAUUAUAACGAUUCAUCUUCGUAUUUCAUAUUGAGAAACUUACAUUAUAUUUACAGGAGCAUAUGAAAUAAAUAGAUAAGAGAAAAUAACAAUUUCUUUGUGAAUUUGGAGUCUACUCCCUUUAACAGGGGUUACUAUAGUCUUCUUUUUUUUUUUUACUGUUUUUAUUUACAACUUCCUAUGAUUAUAAGAUCCAACCCUUGCGUUGAUGAUUUAUAAAUUAUUAUAUGAGUAAUCAAAUUGAGAUCGCACUUUUAAAUAUUGGUUAGAUUGGAUCUUAAAACGUUAAAAUAAUUCUUGUUUUAAAAAACAAACGACUUACCGAUUUAGAAUUCUGGAUUUCUUUGUGAUUUAUAAAAUGAAGAGUAAUGAGGAAACACUGCUUGCCAUUUUUUUUUUUUACAAAAUUGAGUAUCAUCAACGACUAAAUUGUUUAUUUAUAGAAAAGUACAAAUUGUAGUAACUAACUAUACUAAUUAUCACAUGAAAUUUGUGUCAAAAUACAUCCAGAUUGAUCAUAAAUUCAUAAUACAAACAAAACAAGGUCCCACAAAUAUGUUUCAAACGGCGAAAUGUGAUCAUAUUGCAUGGAAAAAAUCCAACAAAAUUGGAUUCGACGAAAGAAUUACACGAAUAAGCAAAUUGUAUUACAAUCUAGUAAUAGGAACAAUAUCACUUAUGACAUGAUAUAAUCCAAUUUACGCAACAAUAGUAAUACUAAAUAACAAUAAUAAAUGGAGACAGAAUAUAGUAAUAAGGUUAUAAAAUCCAAACGGUAGAGGAGGCUUAACCGAAAAAGAUUCGGGUGGGUGUGAUCCACACGCGCGGGAAAAGGGAAAACCUGAAAUACGUUGAUUAAAAGGUUGGUUAGGGAGGGAAAAACGAAGCGUGUCCCUUUGGUAUCAAACUCCGAAGCUGCAGGUUCGGGAGUGUGGGAGAAGGAAGAGUGAAGAAGAGGACAGAGUAUAAAGCAGUUAGCUUUACAACCUUGUAUUUGAGAGCAUUCAUGGAGGUUAUGAGUAUUCUUCUCUAUUAAUAUACAAAACUAUCACAUUACCUUUAUAAACCCAAGCGUAGGAGGAAAAAAAAGAAAGAAAGAGAAAUCCCCCCAAAUUCUUUCCCUUUAUUUUUUUUUCCCUGCCGUUUCUUUGAAUUCUGAAAAACAAGUAUACAUUCUUUUCCAAUAAAACUAUAGGCUCUCCGAUCCGGAUUAGUGAGAUUGUUUGAAAUCCGCAGUGGAUUUUCCUACUCUUUUGGGGAGGUUUAUGGCGGCGACUACGACGGAGGAUGGAGGAUUGAGCUUCACGGUGGCUUCAGUAAUGGAGGAUGUGUUGCAGCAACAUGGAAAUGGGCUGAGAGAUCAUGAUUUAGAGUCUCGUCGAGCUGAAGAAGCUGGUAUUACUCUCUUUGUGCCUUAUACUACUAUGACUUUCGUGAAAUGAGUAUUUUGACGAUUACCAGAGAAUGUUUGAUCAGAUAAACUGAUGAUCUGGGGAUCUCACUGAAUUUAUAACAAAUCGAGUAGAUUCUUCGUCGUCGUUGUGAUAAUUUUGUUAAAUCGUAGAAUUUCUGGAUUAAAAUAGAAUAUUCGAUAUUUGCGUAGCAUCGAGGAGGUACGAGGCGGCUAAUUGGCUGAGAAAGAUGGUUGGAGUGGUGGGAGCUAAAGAUUUGCCUGCAGAGCCAACAGAAGAAGGGCUCAGGCUUGGAUUAAGAAGUGGAAUUAUCCUUUGCAAAGUCCUCAAUAAGGUUCAUCCUGGGGCUGUUUCAAAGGUGAUAAAUACAUUAAAUCCUUCCUUUCAGAGAUUAGCUUUAGGAGAGCACAGAUCAUUUGAUCUCUCUUUUGUUGAAUCAGGUUGUGGAAAGUCCUUGUGAUGCCAUUCUCGUUGCUGAUGGAGCGCCACUAUCAGCGUUUCAGUAUUUUGAGAAUGUUAGGAAUUUCCUUGUUGCUAUCCAGGAAAUGGGCUUUCCAACGUUUGAAGCUUCUGAUCUCGAGCAAGUAUGUAGUCCCCAAUUCAUUAAAUUUCUCAGAACCUUUAGGAACUAACUGCUCAUGAAUAUGCUUCUUUUUUUUUUUUGUUUUUUUUUUAUUUGGUAGGGAGGAAAGGCUUCUCGUGUUGUGAACUGUGUGUUGGCAAUCAAAUCGUAUGAUGAAUGGAAACAAAGUGGUGGAAAUGGAGUUUGGAAAUUUGGUGGUAGCAUAAAGCCUCCUUCACUUGGGAAAUCAUCAUUUGUCAGAAAAAACUCAGGGCCGUUCAUGAACUCUUUAUCGAGAACCUCAUCUAUCAACAACGAUAAUUCUCCCUCUGACACUGAUUCUAACAAACUGGUUAGCCUCUCCAACUGUCUCUGGUUGGUUCUGUCUUCUCAAGUGGAAUAUUUUCUGUUUUAAGUGUCUUUGUACCUCUGUUUUCAGUCCAAUUCAGGUUCCUUGACCACACUUGUCCGCGCUGUUCUAUCAGAUAAAAAGCCUGAGGAUGUGCCCAAUGUGAGCUUCCUACUACUUCAAUUAGUUGCUCAGCUAUAUAUCUGUCUUUGGCAUUUUUUUUUUUCUUCUGGUUACCAAACGGCUUUGUUAUGUUCUUGAUGUAAGUGCCUAAUGUUGUGGUAACAGCUGAUUGAAUCUUUGCUAAGCAAAGUUGUCGAAGAGUUUGAAAAUCGUGUUACAAACCAGUAUGCGUUGGUAUGUUUUCAGUUCUUCCAUCUCUUGUUUCAUUGCGUCAAAAUUCACAAUAUAUGUUCUUCGGUUGUGUCAAAAUUCUUCUAAUCAAAAGAAUUAUGCCAUGUGAAGGUUAGAGCAGCUCCAAGAGAAUCAACUUCUUCACAUAACAACAGAUCAUUUCAUAAACCUCUUGCUGAAAGAGAGGUAAAGUCUUCACUCUUUUUUUCCGUAAAAGAUAGGUUAGAAGAAUUCGCUGAUUACUGAAAUGUCUUUGUAGAGGGAGGAGAAGUGUUUACAAGCAAUAAAGGAAGACGAAACCAUUCAGAAAAGCCAGAUUAUUCUUGAUGAAGAGAUGAAGAAUGGACAAUGUAAACAACUGACAAUCUUCAACCAACAACAACAAGAUAUAGAAGUAGUCACUACACUACUCAUUCAAACUUUCUUCGAGUAUAGGGGUAGCAUAGCCACAGAUUCUGAGUGAAUCCACUACUGUUUCUUUAUGCUUUAUAGGGACUAAGGCAGACACUCUACACUACAAGGGCUGGUAUGCAAUUUAUGCAGAAGAAAUUUCAAGAAGAGUUCUCUUCUCUUGGUAUUCAGAUCUUUAUUCUCUUACUUUCUUAUGAUAGUUUUGGUUAUCCAAGAAUUUGAAAUGAAUUGAUUAGUAUUUCUUUACAGGUAUGCACAUUCAUGGCCUUGCUCAUGCUGCUUCUGGCUAUCACCGAGUUCUUGAAGAGAACCGAAAGCUUUAUAAUCAGGUGCAGGACCUCAAGGGUAGCAUCCGUGUUUAUUGUCGGGUACGACCAUUUUUGCCCGGACAAUCCAGUUUUUCUAGUACAAUUGGACAAAUGGAGGAUGAUACCAUAGCUAUAAAUACUGCACCAAGACAUGGAAAAUCACUCAAAUCUUUCACUUUCAACAAAGUAUUUGGCCCAUCCGCGACUCAAGGUAAGAUAAAUUGAAAUACCUCUCUUUUACUUUCUGGUGAUUGAAUUUCUGAAGGAUCUAUCUUGCAGAGGAGGUAUUUUCUGAUAUGCAGCCAUUGAUCCGUUCUGUUCUUGAUGGAUACAAUGUCUGCAUAUUCGCAUAUGGUCAAACAGGAUCGGGAAAAACGUACACAAUGGUAACAUAAUGGUUAAGACUAUAAUUUUUGAGGAGUGUGACAUUUUGAAGGUAAGAGAUCUUAUAUGUUUUCCCCUUGUGUAAUUCCUCUAGAGUGGACCAAGAGAUCUAACAGAGAAGAGUCAAGGAGUCAAUUACAGAGCACUUGGUGAUCUGUUUCUUCUUGCUGAACAAAGAAAAGACACAUUCCGUUAUGAUAUUGCUGUUCAGAUGAUUGAGAUUUACAAUGAGCAAGUCAGGGACCUUCUGGUUAUUGAUGGAAGCAACAAAAGAUAUCCUUUUCUUUUCAUGAAUGGUUCUACUUCUUAAUGUUCUGGAUCUUAUAUAUAUUUUCAUGUUUAAGUUUCAUAUUCCUUAACGUCUUUGAUACGCUAGAGAUCAGGAAUAGCUCUCAAAAGGGUCUAAGUGUACCCGAUGCAAGUCUUGUGCCGGUUUAUUCAACAUUUGAUGUUAUUGAUCUGAUGAAAGUUGGCCAUAAGAAUCGUGCGGUUGGAUCAACAGCCUUGAAUGAUCGAAGCAGCCGUUCUCACAGGUAAAAGAAAAUAUAUUCAAGAGCAGAGAGAGAAACCCAUUAAUCUCUAUACCUCUUAAGCAAAUUCAAUUUAACACUUUCAGUCUCAUUUUCUUGCAGCUGCUUGACUGUUCAUGUUCAAGGAAGAGACUUGACUUCAGGAGCUGUUCAUCGUGGAUGUAUGCACCUUGUGGAUCUAGCAGGCAGUGAAAGGGUAGACAAAUCCGAGGUGACUGGAGACAGACUAAAAGAAGCACAACAUAUCAAUAGAUCUCUCUCUGCUUUAGGGGAUGUGAUUGCUUCACUAGCUCACAAGAACCCACAUGUUCCUUACAGAAAUAGCAAACUUACACAACUCCUUCAGGAUUCUCUUGGUAAAGGAUAUAAGUAAUUUUAUCCUAAUAUGUUUGCAGCUUAUAAUUAUAAUUCGCUUUGUUCUUGACUUAUGAUCGUAAAUAUGUUAUAUCAGGAGGACAGGCAAAGACAUUAAUGUUCGUCCACAUAAGUCCUGAGGCAGAUGCAGUUGGGGAAACAAUAAGCACUUUGAAGUUUGCAGAGCGAGUAGCUACAGUUGAGCUCGGUGCUGCUCGAGUGAACAGUGAUACUUCAGAUGUUAAGGAACUCAAAGAACAGGUUUUUUUUUUUUUUUUUUUUUUUUUUUUUUUUUUAAUUUAGCUGAAUCUCAGGGUUUUAUUUUCUUGGCUGAUAGUAAAAUUAAAUUGACUCACACAUGGGCUUUGGUUUGUUAAUAGAUUGCUACUCUUAAAGCAGCACUCGCGAGAAAAGAAGCAGGGUCACAACAGAACAAGAUCUUAACAACUCCUGUUGGCUCUGAGAAACACAAAGCCAAAACUGGUGAAGCAGAGGUGAUUCUUCUUCUCUUCUCGAACUCAGUCUUGUGAUUUAAAAACACGUCUCAAAUUGGACAUCGUUUUUUUGAGUGAUUGCAGAUUCAGCACAACAAUAGCAUCACGACAAAGAAAUCGGAGAGCUGUGAAGUGGAGGAGAUAACAGUGAACUCACCACCUUGGCCACCAGUAGCAAGUCCAGGCCAAACCUACAGAGACGAAGAGCGAAGUUUCGGGUCAAGUGAGUGGGUUGAUAAGGUAAUGGUGAAUAACAGGCAAGACGAGAUGAGAAGAGUGGAGAGUCUUUGGGGAGGAGGAACAACAGACAACGGGAUCAGUAUUCUGCCGGAGGAUUUUUACAGGUCUUCAGACACUUCAAGAAUAUUCUCUGAGCAUUCUUACAACAUCUUCAUGGGAAACAACAACAACACAGACGAUCUAGAUGCGGCCACUACAAGUGACUCGUCUGAGCCAGACUUGCUCUGGCAGUUUAACCAAUCCUCCAAGAUAUCGACAACAAGCACUACUGAGUCAAAACCCAAGAAACCCGUCUCAAAACCGACAAAAAAUCCUCAAUUCAGGUUCUUUUCCCCAACUCUCUCUCAGUAAUGAAACGCCAAAAACAGAAUCUUCUUUUAACAUUUUUGUUUUUCGUCUCCAAUAAAAAAUGCAGGAACUCAAACACGGUUUCACGUUCUUCAGCGAAUGCUCCUCGUGGCACGAAACAGCUUGGUCCUGCUGAUAUGAAGCGAAAAGCAAGCGUCAGACGUUAAAGGCCUGCACGCACUCACACGCAUAAAUAUAAAACCUCUUCUUUUUUUUAUUUGAUUCUUUUUCUUUCUGAUUCUUUUCUUCCACUGGUUUCUUGUUUCUUCUUCUCUCCUUUGAUUGUGCAAGUUUCUAUAACACACAGACAUACAGUGCAGCGAUAGUUUUUUCUUGUUGCUCUUCUUCUCUUCUUCCUGGAUUUUGUUUUUUACUUGUCUUUUUGUCUUAUGUAUAGCUGAACAUAAACGAAAUUUGAACGACCUUGUAUGUACACGAUUGCUUGAGUUUUAUUUUAUUGUUUCUAUAAUGUUUGAAAUUUUUUCCCCUUGAUUUGCAGAGAUAAAACUCGGUAAUUUCUUUCAAAUCAGAGAGCAAAAUAUUUAUUUAAUGCAUUUCUAAUUAGCUCCCGAACUGUGGCUAAUGGCUAUCUUCUAUUCACGCCCCCAUCUUCCAUAGUGGAAAGUGAUAACAAAAACGAAUUUAAUUUUUCUUUUCUUCUGAAAGUUGAAAGAUGGUAUAAACUGCUGUAAAAAUGAAUCUUCCAUAGUGGAAAGUGAUAACAAAAACGAAUUUAUUUAUUUUUUCUUCUGAAUGUUGAAAGAUAGUAUAAAAUAUUUAUAAAAUGAAGAAAAGUAAUAUACUUUUCAAAUUUAGACCAACCUUGUUGAUUCGUUGAAUCGUUUCUCGAGGAGUAUUAUAAUUUGUUUUUGUUUGCCCUAUCUUUCUCUCUCUCUAUCUGCUCUUCCGCGACGUGAUCUCUCAACUCUCCAUCUUCGUCUUCGAAGGUUUUUUUAUUUAUUUAAUUUUGCUAUUUUACGUUUACAGAUUCGUUCAAUCGUAGUGUUUUCCUGAUUUGAGAGAUGCGUAAUUUGAUUAUUCUUCUCUCGCCUCUUUGUUCAGUGUAGUAUUACUAUUAGGUAGAAGAAUCCAUGGCGAUUUACGUCGCGUCGCGACGACUCUCCGGCGGAACAACUGCGGCGGCGCUGCGUUAUGCCACCGCGCUGAGAUCUUACUCGACGUCUUUUAGGGAGGAGAGGGACACCUUCGGGCCGAUCCAAGUUCCUUCCGAUAAGUUGGGCAUCUGAUCUUUACCAGAACGUUGAACAUCUCUUUUUCCCGAGGGAAACAUUUUCACAGUGUAAUUGUUGUUUCUGUGUCAAUCAGAUUGUGGGGAGCCCAGACGCAGAGAUCGCUGCAGAACUUCGAAAUCGGUGGUGAGCGCGAGCGAAUGCCCGAACCAAUCGUCCGCGCUUUUGGCGUCUUGAAGAAAUGUGCUGCCAAGGUAACACUCUCGCUAUAGGUUUUGGGUUAAAUUUUGCAUCUGAGUUGUCAUUUGCUUUCUCGUCUUGGUUCGUCAUGAGCUGAGUAAUUAUAAUGUAGGUUAACAUGGAAUAUGGUCUUGAUCCAACGAUUGGGAAAGCGAUUAUGCAAGCUGCACAGGAAGUAGCAGAGGGAAAACUCAAUGAUCAUUUUCCCCUUGUUGUAUGGCAAACUGGUAGUGGGACUCAGAGUAAUAUGAAUGCCAAUGAGGUACUUUCCUGGAUAUACAUAUGUGUGUUUCUUAGGAUCUCAUUGUAUAGUGCUACAAAAGGCUCUUCACACAUGUAUAACGCCUCGUGUUUCUUCUUUGCUCUUCACAGGUCAUUGCUAACAGAGCAGCUGAAAUUCUUGGUCGCAAACGUGGUGAAAAAUGUGUGCACCCAAAUGACCAUGUCAACAGAUCACAAUCUUCUAACGACACUUUUCCAACUGUAUGCUUUGAAUUUCAUUCCAGCUACCAAUAAUUUUACAUGCUUAACGUUUGUUGAAUUGCCUAUGUUGUUUAUGAAACUCAUUGUUUUCCUUUCCUAUAUGUAGGCUCACUCCCCUUUCAAGUGGUAAUUGACUCUCUGUAUUGAUUUUUGUUUGUCCAGGUCAUGCACAUUGCAGCUGCAACCGAGAUUAAUUCAAGGCUGAUCCCUAGUUUGAAAACUUUGCAUAGCACUCUGGAGUCUAAGGUCUGACCUUUUUUCCGCUCUUCUCAACUUACUACACAAAUUAUCCAGUCGCUGAAUUGCAGCACGGUAGUCUUUCAACAUGAAACCUUCUGUGACCUUACUAGUAUCAUGAAUUGCUUCUGACCAAAGUUCAGUGUGGUACUACUUAUAUCGAAAAGUUGCUUUGUAGAUGUUGCAAUGAACAUUUUUCUGACCUUGAAAUUUUGCUAAUUAAUCCAGCUUUUCUAGACCUAUGUAGUCCUCGUCACAUUUCUGUUGCGUUUGUUAAAUUUUGCUCUUUAUUCUGAAAAUUUCAAACUUCCCUCAUUACUGGCAGUCCUUCGAGUUCAAAGAUAUUGUGAAAAUUGGAAGAACUCACACUCAAGAUGCUACACCUUUGACACUAGGACAAGAAUUUGGUGGCUAUGCUACUCAAGUGAGUCGUUUUUUUUUUCCUUCAGAAAAUUCUGUUUGUCUAUCAAAAGUGAAAAUCAAAUGCUGAAAUUCUUUCUGAAAUUUUUAAAUAUUAUGAUUGCAGGUUAAGUAUGGACUUACUAGGGUCACAUGCACUCUACCCCGCCUCUAUCAGGUUUGGGAAAUGAUAGCUUUUAGGAUCUGAUUUCCUCUGCUUUAUAGGGUCCAAUUUUCCAUUAUUCUCUAACUUGCCAGAAAUGUUUGGCCAGCUUGCACAAGGCGGAACUGCUGUUGGGACCGGAUUAAACACCAAGAAAGGGUAUAUCUCAUUUCUGGUUUUAUUCCCAUCCCAAUUAAGUUAUCUCCUCUUAGUCCACUGUUGAUGAAAUCUGUACAGGUUUGACGUAAAGAUAGCUGCUGCAGUAGCCGAAGAAACAAACUUGCCGUUUGUCACUGCAGAAAACAAGUUUGAAGCUCUGGUUAGUCGCUAAACGAGAUAAGUUGCUUUUAAAUGGUUGAUAUAUGAAAUCAUGAGUUGCUGAAUUAUUAUGCUCUUUCCAGGCUGCACAUGAUGCUUGUGUUGAAACCAGUGGGUCACUUAACACAAUUGCCACAUCGUUGAUGAAGAUCGCCAAUGAUAUACGUUUUCUUGGAAGGUAUGUAUCUUAUCUUUAGGGAUUUGUUUUUUUCUUUCUUCAAGAUGUACUAUAUGUUCUUAUGGGUUAACAUGUUUUCAUAUAGUGGCCCAAGAUGUGGUCUUGGUGAACUUGUUCUGCCUGAAAAUGAGCCAGGAAGCAGCAUCAUGCCUGUAUGAGUGCAGUCUUCCUUUUAUUUUGUAUUGUUCAUUAAUUAUGAUUCAAAUGUUUUUUAAUCGCUCUCUUCCUCUCUAUCUCACUCAGGGAAAGGUAAAUCCUACACAGUGUGAGGCCUUGACUAUGGUUUGUGCUCAGGUAAGUUCUGUUCAUCAAUACAUUCCUACUGAACAUAGGAGUUUUAAAAAGUGUUCCUGACUCUUUUGAGCUGAAUCCUACAAAAUUGCAGGUUAUGGGCAAUCAUGUAGCUGUGACAGUUGGUGGGUCAAAUGGUCAUUUCGAAUUGAAUGUAUUCAAGCCGGUGAUUGCAAGCGCUCUAUUGCAUGUAUGUUAAUCUCUUUCCCUUGUGCAUCUCUUACUUUGAUUCUAUGCAAAAAUUUGCCAAUCUUAACCAUUUGAUCUCGCCUCUUUGACAGUCUAUCAGAUUGAUAGCAGAUGCUUCAGCUUCGUUUGAGAAAAACUGUGUGAGGGGCAUUGAGGCCAACAGAGAAAGGAUCUCAAAGCUAUUGCACGAGGUAGGCUUAAUUUGUAGUCUUAAUAUUGUCCACAUCGUGAAAAUGAUGUCUUGGAACUGAUUCUUUGUUUUUUUUGUAUGUGUUUCUCUGUAGUCUCUAAUGCUUGUGACAUCAUUGAACCCGGUAAGUCUCCAAAUAUUUAGCUCCGCUUUUGACAAAUGAAUUUACGUCGAUGCUAAGUUUUGGAAUCAUUGUCUUCUCUACCAGAAAAUCGGAUAUGACAAUGCUGCAGCAGUCGCUAAGAAAGCUCAUAAAGAAGGAUCUACAUUGAAGGUAAAAGCAAAAAACUCUUUAUGCAUCACGAAAUCAAACGUACUUGAGAACAAUUGAAAUUGAUUUGCAACAAGAAAAAACAGGUUCAUAGUCUGUAUCAGCUUGUUAGCAAUAUAUCUGCUGCUCUAUAUUGGGUUUGAAUAUUUUUCAAUGCAGAUUAUAAAUUACUAAUUCUAAACUGGUCCUAGUAAGAUAUCAGUUUGUUAAACCUCGAGCUUUAAAUUUUGUCCUACAGGACGCGGCUCUGAAGUUAGGUGUUCUUACUGCGGAAGAGUUUGAUACUCUUGUUGUUCCCGAGAAGAUGAUCGGUCCCUCCGAUUGAUGCUUUUUUUUUUUGGACCCAAAGCUUCACUUACUAUUCUUAUUCUUCUUUAGGUUAAAAUAAAGAUGAGAAAAAUCCUGAAACUAUAAUUCAAAUUUUCUUGGGAGGGCAACAUUGUUCUUCAAUUCUUGAGAGUUCUCUCUAUGUAUAAUUUAUUUUGUUGAAUAAGAGCAACAAAGACAGUUCUCAUUGCUCUUCAGUUCUGAAUUAACCCAAAUACAAUAUAUCCAGAGGGCUUUUUGGUGGCUGUGAUACGGGCCUUGAGGCCCUACCGAGAUUAUAUGGGGCCAUAUUAACCCGGUCCAAAUAGUUUUGCCAGACCUUCUCCAUGGCGCAACUUAUCGCGUGUGAGUGUUCACGCGCUAAAACUUUUUUCAGGAAUAAAGUCGAGGAUUUAGGCGACAAGACGCGCGUGGGAGCCACUUGUACGCAGAAAAAGUAAAAAUCAUUAAAAUUAGAAAAGGGGGACGUCCAAUGUAUCUGUCUCACACUUUUCCGUUUUUGUUGGAUUUGUUUCCACUCUUCCCACUCUUCUUUUAUUUUUUUCUAUUUCUUUCCUUGUCUCUAUCAAUCUCAAUGGUUGGUUCAAUGCGUCUUCUUCUUCUUCUUUUUUUUAUUGUCUUUCUUAAAACUACGAGUUUUUUUUUGCCCAUCAUAUUAAUUAAAGGCAUACUGUCUCCUUUUAAAAAGAAAGAUGUAUUUGGUUAGCUCAUCAUCUUGGACCAACUUUGUUGGCCAAAUAAUUUUUUAAAAUUUAUUUGUCGCUGUAAAAUAUUGUCAAUAAAAUUAAGCUAAUUAACUACUCGCGGUUUUUUUCAUUAAUCUUAUUGUAUUUUUAAUUUAUUCAUGUCAUGUGUUGAAUAUUCUAUAGUUUCAUUGACAGAAGGCGCAUUUUUCCAUUAAAAAAUGAGUAGAAAUUUAGAAACAUUGCAUUUGAACAUUGAGAAUUUGAUAUGUAGUUUGAAAAAUCCGAGACCGAAUAAAAUAAUUGAAUGGACCACUUGAGAUUGGACUCUUACGGACUAUGGACCUUUGAAGAAUGGGCGUUUCCUAAAUACAUCCAAUUAUUUCUCGACAUGUCAGAAGUUAUUCCCACGUGUGGAUAGAGUUUUACCCUCUAUAGUCGACGUCGUCUUCCGCACGUGCCACGACUCUCUCUCUCCGUGACGCUUUUUUUUCCUUUGUUUCCCUCUCUCUAUCUCUCUCCUCUCCCAGUUUCACUGUCGUCGUCUCUUUUUCCAUGAAAGCUUCCUUAAACUAGAGAUCUCUGCGACAUAUAGAGAGAGAGAGAGCUUUCCAUUUCUUCAAAAGCUACGGUCCCUCGCUCUGUGACCUUUUAAGGUUUGUGAUGUCUUCUUCUUCCUUCUUCUUCCUUCUUCUUCAAUUCGAUCCUUCUCGCUUUCCGCCGCAUUAUUAUUAUGUUCGAAUAGUUACGUAGUUUUGUAGUUCCGGCGAGAGUCUCUUUAGCCUUAGGUGAAACGUUAAUGGAGGAUUGAUUUCACUGCUUUAGCAUUUCUUCUGAUCGAUCUGUGUGGUGACUUGGUCAAGUUUCUCAGAUCGGCCUCAGCUUUUAUCGUGGCAUCGAUUUGCGAGGAAGAAAUUUCAUUUGUAGAUUUAAAUUCUGGAUCGAUUUUGUAUGAUUCCGUAGCUGGAUCGAUUGAGUCCGUCGUGUGUCCAAAUCCAUCUGAUUGCUUAUCAGCAGAUUUCUGAAGUUCACCAGACACUUCCUCUGUUAGUUCCACUGGAAACGUUACUGGAAAUAAUCGUGAUUUAGAUGCUAAAUCAAAAACCUCUGACUGGAAUUUAACUGAGUGAUGUUUCUUGGGCUAUAUUUUGACCAGGUCAAGCGAGGUGCGAGCUCCAACAAUGGAGUCGUGUGACUGUUUUGAGACACAUGCGAAUCAGGAUGAUCUCUUAGUGAAAUAUCAAUACAUCUCGGAUGCGUUGAUUGCUCUUGCCUACUUCUCGAUCCCACUCGAGCUUAUAUAUUUCGUGCAGAAGUCUGCCUUCUUCCCCUACAAAUGGGUGCUCAUGCAGUUUGGAGCCUUCAUCAUCCUCUGUGGAGCCACACAUUUCAUUAACCUAUGGAUGUUUUUCAUGCACUCCAAAGCCGUUGCGAUCGUGAUGACUAUCGCCAAAGUCUCCUGCGCAAUUGUGUCGUGUGCAACUGCAUUGAUGUUGGUUCACAUCAUCCCUGAUCUUUUGAGUGUCAAGAACCGGGAAUUGUUUCUCAAGAAGAAAGCCGACGAGCUAGACAGAGAAAUGGGUCUCAUUCUAACCCAAGAGGAGACUGGAAGACAUGUGAGGAUGCUUACUCAUGAAAUCAGAAGCACGCUUGAUAGACACACUAUUCUAAGGACCACUCUCGUCGAGCUCGGUAAAACUCUUUGCCUGGAGGAAUGCGCCUUGUGGAUGCCGUCACAGAGUGGCCUAUAUCUGCAGCUUUCUCAUACUUUGAGCCACAAAAUACAAGUUGGAAGCAGUGUGCCGAUAAACCUGCCAAUAAUUAACGAACUCUUCAAUAGCGCUCAAGCCAUGCACAUACCUCAUACAUGUCCCUUGGCUAAGAUUGGCCCUCCAGUUGGGAGAUAUGCGCCUCCCGAGGUUGUUUCUGUCCGUGUACCUCUUCUACAUCUCUCAAAUUUCCAAGGCAGUGACUGGUCUGAUCUCUCUGGCAAAGGUUACGCUAUCAUGGUCCUGAUUCUCCCCACAGAUGGUGCAAGAAAAUGGAGAGACCAUGAGUUAGAACUUGUCGAAGUCGUGGCCGAUCAGGUCCAUCUCUUCACCUUGCAUACCUUUGGCUGUGUUCCAACCUUUUGAUUUUAGUAAUUUGUCCGUGACUCUCACUUUAUUCAUUCAUUCAGGUGGCUGUGGCUCUCUCACACGCUGCAAUUCUGGAGGAAUCGAUGCACGCUCGUGACCAGCUUAUGGAGCAGAAUUUUGCUUUAGACAAGGCUCGUCAAGAGGCAGAGAUGGCAGUACAUGCUCGGAAUGAUUUCCUAGCUGUCAUGAACCACGAGAUGAGGACACCAAUGCAUGCUAUCAUCUCUCUGUCUUCUCUGCUUCUUGAGACUGAGCUAUCUCCAGAGCAGAGAGUGAUGAUCGAGACAAUACUGAAAAGUAGCAAUCUUGUGGCCACACUCAUCAGCGACGUUCUGGAUCUAUCGAGAUUGGAAGAUGGGAGUUUACUCUUGGAAAAUGAACCCUUCAGUCUCCAGGCUAUCUUUGAAGAGGUAACUAAAAUCUUUUAAAAAAGAUUGAGCCAGUGAAGUCCAUUAUCGUACACAAAAUAACCGGGGGAUGUGAAUCUGCAGGUCAUCUCACUGAUAAAGCCAAUCGCAUCGGUGAAAAAACUAUCGACGAAUCUGAUUCUAUCUGCAGACUUACCGGCUUAUGCUAUCGGUGACGAGAAACGUCUGAUGCAAACUAUUCUCAACAUCAUGGGAAACGCUGUGAAAUUCACCAAGGAAGGCUACGUCUCCAUAAUAGCUUCUAUCAUGAAACCUGAGUCCUUACGAGAAUUACCAUCUCCAGACUUCUAUCCAGUUCCAAGUGACAAUCACUUCUACCUAUGCGUGCAGGUUAGUCCCCGACCAAACAAACAAAUAAAGAUAAAACGAAAAAUAUAGACAUUAGUUGAUGAUAGCGUUGUAAAUGUUAUGAUCUUGGUGCAGGUGAAGGACACAGGGUGUGGAAUUCACACGCAAGACAUUCCAUUUCUCUUCACCAAAUUUGUACAGCCUCGGACUGGAACUCAGAGGAACCAUUCUGGUGCAGGACUCGGUCUAGCUCUCUGCAAACGGUAACGAUCACCGAAGUUUAAAGUAGAUAUAUAUAAAUAUGGUGUCACAAAAUUAAAUAGCUGAAAGGUGAGUUUUUGGUGGUGGUUAGGUUCGUUGGGCUAAUGGGAGGAUACAUAUGGAUAGAAAGCGAAGGCCUAGAGAAAGGCUGCACAGCUUCAUUCAUCAUCAGGCUCGGUAUCUGCAACGGUCCGAGCAGUAGCAGCGGUUCGAUGGCGCUACGUCUUGCAGCUAAAUCGCAAACCAGACCGUGGAACUGGUGAUUCAUCACGAUUUUUUUUUAUUGUUUUUGAACUACACAGCAGCAAGAGAAAGGAGAAUGUGGGGUUAUAUACAUGGCCGGAAGGUCUGAUCUUUACCUUAUUGGAUUUUUGUUGGUUGUAAUUUGUAAAUGAAAAUACAUACAUAUAUAUGUCAUCAACAAACGGUAAACACAACACACAAUAAGCCCCACUGAUCGUCGGCUAUUUAUUACAUAAUCGUGACUACGUGUAAAUAAACACUUUUUAAGUUUUGACCACCGAAAAAAAAAAACCUUUUUAAAGUAAAAAAUAACCACACAGCAACAAAAAAUUGAUUCGGAUCCUUGGUGUAAUUUGAUGAAUCGUCAGUAUUACAACAUAUCCUAAUCAAUUUUAGAUUCUGGAGGUGAAAUAUUACUAAGUUUGUCACAAAUUUAAACGUGCACCCAAUUAAGUAUCUUCCCUCCAACAUGUAAUUAACACUUAUCUUAUAUAAUCUUAAGAAAGAUACUUGUAUCACAUUUGUUGUUCUUCAUAUAUAUAGAGGACCAUGUCUUGAGCUCAAACUUUAACCAACCAACCAAACAACACACGAACAAACUUUUAACAAAUUAAUGGCAUCCACAGGCGCUGUCGCUUGUGUCCUCCUCCUGGCCCUGGUGGAGGUUGUGGCCACUGCUGAUUACGACGUGCCACCACCACCAUCUUAUGUUCCCAAACCGGUGACUAAACCACCCACCACAUACACCUCAUCGGUUAAGACUCCAUACUUACCAAACCCUGACAUCGCCAUUGAAGGUUUCAUCUUGUGCAAAUCUGGCUACGAAACCUACCCUAUCCAAGGUGCAAUUACAUAAUCGAUCGAUUUCAUAUUAUGCGAUUCAUUUCAUGACAUCUUACCGAAAAAAAUUGUAAACCAAAUAACUUACUUUGAAAGCAAUAACCUUUUUAUUUUUUGGGAGAAAUUGAUGAGUCUUUGAUAAUAUUAUAUAUCUUAAGAUACACAUUUCACUUUGAACCCUGAAAAUGUGGUGGUCAUAAGUAAUUUAAAAUGUUGCGAUCUCUUAUUUGACGAGUGUUUUCAAAAAUAUCAUUUUAUACCGUCCAAGCUUGGGCUCAUGCCUUACUCUGGCGCGGACUGAGCCAAACCGAUGGUGUACUUGACAGGAGCCAAGGUUAAGGUUAUGUGUCCUAUCGUGGACUCAUACGGAAAGCUAGUGGCCAAGGUUACAAUCUCGAGCUACCCAACCAACUUGAAGGGAUACUUCUAUUUCAUUACGUACGGACUCUCCCACAGGAUGAAGAACAUCAAUGACUGCAAAGUGAAGCUUGCGAGCUCUCCGGUCUCCACGUGUAAGACUCCGACCAAUGUCAACAAAGGUGUCACCGGAGCUCCAUUCUCUUCCGACAACUCCAAGUUCCUUAGCCGCGACAACUUGAAUCUCUUCACCUUUAAACCUUUCUAUUUCUCUAGCCCCGCGCGUGGCUCCCAAUCCGGUUUAUUAGGGGUUAAAAUCAAUCAUGAGACCGCGGUUUUAUAAUGUACAUAUGUUUCUAUUGAUUGUUUGCUAUUACUUUAUUUAUUUUCCUUCUUUGGCUCUUGGCUAUGUUUCGCCAUUUUGAAUAACAGUAAUACAUAAAAUUACACCUUAGUUAAGUUUCCUUAUAAGAAUAAGAUGUCAACGAGAAGAGACCUCAUAUGUACUUUGCAUCAACACUUCUCCUAUUAUGCCUUCAAACUAGUAGGAAAAUAGAUAACGGUUUGUUUUUUUUUUUUUUUUUUUGUGGCAAAAGAAGAGACUCAGAUGUAUAAUGGGGGAAAAAAAACUAAAAGUAAAUUUAUGAUUAAUGUCUUUGAAAAUAAAUCUAUGAUUAAUGUUCUAAAAAUAAAAUAGUUAAGUGGCUGCACGUCCUCUAAUGCAUCAGAAACUUAAGACACUUUUUAGUGGAUAAUAAUGCAAUGAUUAUGAUCAUGAGCUAAAACGUGCGCCCAAGUCACAUCCCUUGUUCUCAUAUAUAUAAAUAUAUUUUUUUAAAAUUUAAACCUUAUCGGUAAAACCUAUAUAUAUAUCUCUCAUCGUACAACAUUCGUUCGUCAACAAAACACACUUAUACAUCUAUAUAAUACAGUUGAAAAAUUGAAUAGAGCCUUGAACAAUUUAUAAGAAACUAGAAAAUGGCUCUAAAAUACUCGUUUUCCUUGGUUCCCUACAUGCUGCUUCUCUCGUCCCUGUUCGCUGCCGGGGUGGCCACAAUCACCCACGGAGAGCUGCUGUCUUCGAUGAUCGGAGUUCAAGGUCUCAUCUAUUGUAAACAAGGAUCUAAACUUACCCCUAUCCAAGGUAAAUUUUCAUCAUAUAUAGAUAUUAAAAAUAAAAUAAUUAAAAAUUGUAGUAAUUAAAUAUCACACGUGCAUGGACAGGUGCGGUGGCGAGAGUAACUUGCGAGACGGCGGACGAAUAUGGUUACGAGGGAGAGGAUGUGACGGUGCUUAGCCAAGCGACGGAUGCGAAGGGUUACUUCCUGGCGACGCUUUCUCCGUCGGAGGUGAAGGACUAUCAGAAGGUGAGGAUCAAAGAGUGCAGAGCCUUUGUUGAGCUUUCUCCGGCUGACACGUGUUCUUUUCCGACGGAGAUCAACCGUGGGAUCAGCGGAGCCAUUCUCCAGAAAUAUCGUCUCCUUGAAAACAAGAUUAAGAUGAAGCUCUUCACCGUUGGCCCUUUCGUCUUCUCGCCUGAGGAAACUGAUCACGACAAGUCUAUCCCCAACGGCUACUAAAUUUAACACUCUUUCUUUUUCAGUGCCUUCACUGUAUAAACAAUGUUAAGGCCCAACACAAUGUUAAGGCCCAACCGAAACCCAACAACUCUGCAAACAAGACAAAACUUGUCGCAGCAACGGUCAAGAACAGAGGGAACAGUACGAACACAGAAAACAGGUUUUCUGUGCUUGAAGAUAAAGACGGUGAGCUGUAAAUUGCCACCUGUCUAUGAGUCUAGAAUCAUCUAAGCCUUGUAUAAAAGCUCACUCUUUGUAAACGUUUUGGAGUUAGUUAAUGAGAAUGCAAUUUCAGUAAACCUAAAAUACUUUUUGCUCUGCUUCAUUUUCUUGUUACUCACAUGGUAUCAGAGCCAUGGAGGGCACAACAUCACAGGCAAACGCCGCUUCAGCUGCUCCACCCACAGUUACCUCCGGUGUCUCUGUGACUUCCGCUACGGCAACCACCACAACACCUGCUCCGGUGAAUGCAACCCCCACUCCUACACCGGUGGUUCUUCAAGCUCCUCAGACUCCGGUGCAAACUCAAGCUGUCUCCUUUCAGCCAAGCUUCACCCCAGCUGCUCUUUCCAUCACCCAGGUUGUCACUCUCAAACUCAACGACACCAACUAUCUAUCUUGGAAGCUUCAGUUCGAGCAAUUCCUUCAAAGUCAGCUCCUUUUGGGCUAUGUCACCGGUGCCGUUCCCAGACCUUCUCCAACUCUUUUAGUGAGGACUGGAGAUACUGUUUCUGAGGCGAGUAAUCCAGAUUUUCUCAGAUGGGUUCAUACAGACCAACUGAUUAUGGCCUGGAUCUAUGGAUCUCUCUCAGAAGAAGCUCUCAAAAGCAUCUACGGUCUUCACUCUUCACAAGAGGUUUGGUUUUCUCUUGCAAAGAAAUACAACAGGGUCUCUACAACAAGGAAACUUGAUAUUCAAAGCAGGAUUCAAACUACUGUUAAGGGUAACCUCUCUCUUGCUCAGUACAUCUCGGAAAUCAAAUCCCUUUGUGACCAACUUGACUCGAUUGGCUCACCUAUCUCUGAGCAAGAAAAGAUAUAUGGCGUCUUAACCGGUUUGGGAAGAGAUUAUGAGUCGAUAGUGACGGUUAUUGAACACUCUAUGGACUCUCCGUAUGGUCUUACCUUUGAAGACGUGGUCUACAAACUCACCUGUUUUGAAGAAAAACUUCAGAAAUACCAGAUCUCAACCGAAGUUAACCCUCAUCAGGCCUUCUACACCGCCAGAGGUGGUUACAACAAUGGAGGAAGGGGUCAAUCUCGUGGCCGUGGCUCGUUUUCCACACAAGGAAGAGGAUUUCCACAGCAGUUUGGUCAAGGCACUGGUAGGGGCUCUUCUUCUGCAGGAUAUCAAAGGCCCACCUGUCAGAUUUGUCACAAAGUCGGUCACCCUGCAAACAAGUGCUGGAAAAGGUUUGACAGAGAGUUUCAGACACCACCCGAGAGUGAUCUUCCUCAAGCAAUGGCCGCUCUCAAAAUGACUGACUCCUCUGGUGCAGAAUGGUAUCCAGACACCGGCGCUACUCAUCAUGUCACAAACUCUGAACAUCACCUGCAUGAAUCUCAACCAUACAAUGGUACCGAUGCUGUCAUUGUGGGAAAUGGAGACUAUCUCCCUAUAACACACGUUGGCUCCAUUGCUCUGCCAACUCCAACAGGUAAGCUACCUCUUACUGAUGUAUUGGUUUGUCCUGAGAUAACUAAAUCUCUUCUUUCUGUGUCAAAGCUCACCGAUGAUUAUCCCUGCUCAUUCACCUUUGACUCUACAUCUGUGUGCAUUAAGGACAAAGCAACACACCAGCUUCUCAGUCAGGGAAGCAAAACUAAGGGCUUGUAUCGGUUAGAGAAUCCCCAACCUUUGGUGUUCUACUCUUCAAGACAGCAACAAGCGAGUGAUACAGUAUGGCACAAGAGGCUUGGGCAUCCUCAUCAUCAAGUUCUGAAGCAUCUAUCUUCUAUUAAUGCUAUUGCUUUUAAUAAGACAACUUUGCCAAUGUGUGAGUCAUGUCAGUUGGGGAAAACAUGCAAACUUCCCUUUAGUAGAUCGGAUUUUCAAUCAAGUAGACCUCUUGAGAGGAUUCACUGUGAUGUAUGGGGUCCAGCUCCAGUUGUAUCAGUCCAAGGGUUCAGAUAUUAUAUUGUGUUUGUUGACAAUUUUUCAAGAUUCUGUUGGUUUUAUCCACUUAAAGUGAAAUCUGAUGCCUUUCAUGUCUUCAAAACAUUUCAACAAUUGGUCCAAACUCAAUACAAUCAGAAAAUCUGUAUUUUCCAGAGUGAUGGUGGUGGUGAGUUCAUCAACAAACAGUUUCUAGACCACUUUGCAACUUGUGGGAUUAAGCACUACAUCUCUUGUCCACAUACACCUCAGCAAAAUGGUCUAGCUGAGAGAAAGCAUAGACACAUUGUUGAGCUGGGUCUGUCUAUGCUCUUCCACAGCCAAGUUCCACAACAACUGUGGGUUGAAGCCCUGUUCACUGCCAACUUCCUCAUCAACCUGCUUCCUUCCUCUGUUCACAACAAGCUGGUCAGUCCUUUUGAAGUUCUUAAUGGAGAUAGACCUGUCUACACUGCUCUGAGAGUAUUCGGGUGUGCUUGUUACCCAUACUUGAAGCCUUAUACACAGAACAAAUUCGAUCCCAAGUCACUUCUCUGCGUAUUUGUGGGUUAUAGUGAAAGGUACAAAGGCUAUCGAUGCUUUCAUCCACCAACUGGAAGAGUAUAUAUCAGCAGACAUGUGUUAUUCAAUGAGUCUCAGUUUCCCUUCGCAGAAGGAUAUAAGAGCUUUGCCAAGCUUGCAACGACUCCUCUAAUGAACGCUUGGUACUCAGGUCAACCGACUGCAGAGACCUCUACUCAGUCUCAGUCUAGUCAGCCCACACCAGAAGAGAUCACCUGUGUUAAAAUUGGUACAGUCUCUGUUCCUGUACCAUCAAGCCGACAAAGAUCACCAUCUCUGUCUCCUCCAACUAAUGUUCAACGGUCACCAAGUCCUCAAGCUUCUUCUCAUACCUCAUCCCCAACAACUGAUAUGGUCGAAGAAAUGGAGCCUUUUGACAGUCAAGAAGAGAUAACUCCAACUGAUUCAUCCACAAAUGUUCAUCCAAUGGUGACCAGAGGCAAAGCUGGGGUCAGUAAGCCUAAUCCACGAUAUAUUCUAUUUGCUACAAAGGGUAUUCCUUCAGAACCCAAAACCGUAGCUGAGGCUGUAGCUCAUCCAGGCUGGAAUGCAGCAUGUGAAGAAGAAAUUGGCACAUGUCAUGAUACAAAUACCUGGGAUCUCGUUCCAAGACCCCCCAACACCAAUCUCCUUGGGUGCAAAUGGGUCUUUAGAACAAAGCUGAAUUCAGAUGGCUCCUUGGACAAGUUAAGGGCCAGACUUGUAGCAAAAGGAUUUGAACAAGAAGAAGGUGUGGACUUUCUAGAGACAUACAGCCCUGUAGUUCGGACAGCAACAGUUAGAAUGGUGUUGCACCUUGCUGUUAUUG
rnacentral:lncRNA from 1 species